GCAAGCAAGCAAUCAACACAGGACUUGAUGCACACAUUGCAGAUUUCAUCACAAAUUACGUCAUGUCAUUAUUAGCUACGGACCAUCUGUAUCACAGAUAAGCAGAAGAGGCUGCUGGAAUACCAUAGGUUUCAGCAACCGACUGCGACGAUGCAUAAUGCUCAACACAACUGAAGGUAGUCUGUUACAACCACAGAUAGUGAAGCGCGACACAGAUAGGUAGAUAGAUAGAUUAUCAUUUUCUGGGCAUUACGAAUGGGCAGGCAGACUCAUUUCUUCCCACUCUUCUUGAGACCAGAUCCUCCCAGCGCACCCUUCUGGCCAGCCUUGGCCUUCAGCUCCUUCAGGGCCUGGUUGACAAGAAAAUAACGUAGUUCACAUCAGAAACUAAGGUCAUAGGACAAGCAGUGUAGAAGAAAAUACUGGAUAGCGGUUACUGGUCUCACCUUUUGCUCAUCNNNNNNNNNNNNNNNNNNNNNNNNNNNNNNNNNNNNNNNNNNNNNNNNNNNNNNNNNNNNNNNNNNNNNNNNNNNNNNNNNNNNNNNNNNNNNNNNNNNNNNNNNNNNNNNNNNNNNNNNNNNNNNNNNNNNNNNNNNNNNNNNNNNNNNNNNNNNUCAUCCUUCUUCUUCUGGAGGUAUGCCAGGUCAUUCUGCAAAACAGAGGAAACCAAAACAAUGGUAAGCAUAGGUAAGUGUAACAGGUCACUGAAGUUAUCGCUUCUAUAGCACAUGGACUAGUUUUCCAAGCAAAGAAGGGUCCUUUUAUGAGGAUGACACAAAAUUCAGAUAGUGUUGCUCUCCCGCAUCAUCAUNNNNNNNNNNNNNNNNNNNNNNNNNNNNNNNNNNNNNNNNNNNNNNNNNNNNNNNNNNNNNNNNNNNNNNNNNNNNNNNNNNNNNNNNNNNNNNNNNNNNNNNNNNNNNNNNNNNNNNNNNNNNNNNNNNNNNNNNNNNUCUCCCGCAUCAUCAUAACACUUGGAAAUAAUUGCCACUGUGAAGCUCAUGUAUCUAGAGGAUGGUAGUUCUCCCGCAUCAUCAUAACACUUGAAAUAAUUGCCACUGUCAAGCUCAUGUAUCUAGAGGAUGGUAGUAUGGUUGGGAGUACCAAAUAAGAUGACUGAAAUCUAGAGUUACAACUGCCGGAGAAAAAAACACCAGGCUCAUAAAACUUACGAAAACCACCACUUUCUUCAGAAUUAGAUGAACCAAUACGGUACAGUUGAAAUUUAGGGUGAACUAACUGCCCUUGUUACUCAGAUUUUGCUGCAAAUUCUACAUAGCAUAUUCACCUUAGACAAGCCACGACCACACAUAAUGUAAGCCAAGCAAAAAAAAACAAAAAAACAAAAAAACAGAGGGCAACUUGGUGCUACAUCCGUGUCAACGCGACUGAAGGUAGAUUGAUGUUACAAAUACAAAAACUAGCACUAGCACACAUGCAUAACAUUGCUCACUCUCUGGGACAACUAUCGCUCCAGAAACUGCAAACAUCAGAAAUUUGGCAGCCAUGUGACAACCCCAUCCAGCACAAUCGGUAGAAACAGCAGCAAUCAGGCAAACACCGCUCCUACUAUAUCAGGACCAAGCAAGGCGCUUGUACUCAUCCAAGUCCAAUCAUUCACGACCCCCUAAUCGUAACGAAAUUCCAGCACGGCAUAGCUACGCACGCUCGCAAAAAUCAUAUCCCCCCUAACGGAUCAUCCCCGCAACUACCCACCAAGCACGGGCCGAUCUACGCCCGAGCAGCCUAGACACCACCAAACCUAGAAUUACAGGGGCGGAUCGCUGAUCCGGGCGACGAAUCGGGAGCGCGAGCAAAGGGAGAAGGACGACAGCAUACCUCGUCGUAGUCCUUCUCGGCGACCUUGGCCUGCUUGAGCGGCUUGGCCUUCCCUCCUGCAAAACCAGCCCCGAAACCGGAAGAGAACGUCAGGACGUCCCCGGAGGACCAAAUCGGCCGGCAACGAACGCCGGCGGGAUCGAUCUCGCGUCGAUCGGCGGGGAGGGAGGGGACAAACCUUGCUUCGACAUGGCGGACGGGCCCGGCGGGGGCGAGAAACCCUAGCUGGAGCCGCGACGACGGUGGGGCGAGGAAGGACGGAAGGAGGGGAAAGGCGUGAGGAAAUGGGCGUGGAGGGGAUGGAGAAAGGGAUAUAUAGAGGGGUUGGUGGGAAACGGAAUCUCGCCUUGUGGCCCGGAGGGCCUGGGCCGGGUUUCCGUCGGCCCGCGGGUUUGGUGACGGGCUCUGGUCUUCCUCGUUGAACUGUCGCCUUUGGCCCAUGCUUUCCUUUAAUAGGCUCCUGUUUAUUUAUUUUUCAUUUCUUUCUGUUAUUUUGUUGAUUGUUUUGCUUCUGCAAAAUUGUUCGGGGUUUAGAAAAGGUUCUGGAUUUCAAAUGAUGGUCGGGAUAUCAAAGACCAUGUUCAGGAGUUUGAAAAAUUGCUCUUGAAUUCGAAAAAUGUUUGCGAGUUUAAAUGUUUUCCUUGAAUUCAGAAGAUGUUGAUGGGAUUUAGAAAGAAUGAUCAUAAAUUACAGAAAUAGUCGCAACUUCUAAAAAGGCUAACAAAUUCAAACAUAACGCUCAUGAUUUUGAACAAAUGCCAAUGGAUUCCAAAACCUUCAUGAAUUUUAUAAACAUGUUCACAAAACUAAAAACAAUAUUAGUGAAUUACAAUAAAAGUUCAUCGACUCAAAAAAUGUUAAUGAGUCUAUAAAGUUAUUACACUCUGAUUCAAAAAUAUUUUUUAGGAGUUACGAAUAAAUUAUAACAAUUUCAACAAAAAAUAGAAAUUCUAAUAAAUCGUUUUCGUGAAUUUAUAAAAUUUUAGUGAUUAAAAAUAUUGUUUUUUUUACAAAAUGUGUGAAAAUUCAAAAAAUCAAUUACCUAACAAAGUUGGCAAAUUAAAAAUAGUCAUGAUUUCAAGAAGGAAAGAAUUACCUAACUCUAUAUAUGGUUGCUAGGGUUUGAGCGGGAGAGAGAGAGCUGCGAGGGUGCGAGAGAGUCGGUCGUGGAGGUCCUUUCCCACGGCCGGGCAAGAGGGAAAAGGGUUUUCCUUCUUAAUUCUUGCCUGAUUAGAAUGAUACAUCUCCUCUCCAUAUAUAGAGAGAGGUUUACUUGACUCCCAAGUAAGGCUUACUUGACCCCUAAGCAAACCCUAAGACUAACGGGCCCAGGCCCAUCACGUACUCUAACAGAAGCUCCGUAAGUUCACUCAUGUUCUUGGCGUGCAAGUAUCCUCUACACCUUCUGACAGAGUAGCAUAACAUCUCCACCCAUACCCCCUGGACCAUCUCCCACCUCUCCACUUCAUCUUGUAGCUCCAUCAACAUCUUAGCAAGCCUACAUGAUGUUCCUGCUAUGCUGGUGUUGUCUAAUAAAGGAGGUUGUUGUGCCUUGGAAAGAAUUCCCUGCGAAAGUCCUCUUUCGUCGUGCAGUGCAGAAUUGUGGCCUAGCGUGAGCUCAAUAUCUUCACAUGAAAUGAUGAAGAUGCCAACCUUGGACCCGACUAUAAGCAUUUCUGAACGAAUUGAGAGCAAGUAUGUCAUGUAGUUGGAUAUCACCCUGCUUUGGGCGGCGCACUCUUGGCCGCGAGGGGUUGUGCUCUGGUGGUGAAAACAAAUGUCUAUGGCGAUGUGCCAUAGAAGGACACUGCUGUCAAAUGACAUAUUCAACCUUCACCCAAGAUGACGUUGAUGCCUUAGAGCCCACUGUCCCCUGUGGAGGUUGAAUCUCUUGUAGCUAACAGCGUCGUGGAUGUACCCUUUCCAACCAUCCAUCACGUGUCCAUGAACCAACUUCACAACUUGGAGUGAGGAUGUUGCUGCUGCAUGUUCUACUCGUAUACAAGGAUGCAUGUUAACAUAGUCUUUGUAGCAGAAAAGUGUGGCAAGCUUCAUAAAAAAGUGGGUCACUUCUUACGAGCACACAACGACAAGAGGUUAUGUUGCGAAAUCUUUUUCUGUUUGAUGAAUUACUAUAGAAAACAAGGCAAAUAACCAGAAAAAAAAUGCUCAUAUUUAAGAGAGAUAGAACAGUCUAGUUAGAAAACAGGCACAUGUGCUGAUACCAUUUCAAGGUCCCCCCCCNNNNNNNNNNNNNNNNNNNNNNNNNNNNNNNNNNNNNNNNNNNNNNNNNNNNNNNNNNNNNNNNNNNNNNNNNNNNNNNNNNNNNNNNNNNNNNNNNNNNNNNNNNNNNNNNNNNNNNNNNNNNNNNNNNNNNNNNNNNNNNNNNNNNNNNNNNNNNNNNNNNNNNNNNNNNNNNNNCCCCCCCAAUUAGCAGCAAGUUACAACAGCAACAAUAACUAAUUAAAGUCAGUAACAAUAUGCCAGUGAAAAUGGAUGUCUCAGCGUUAUGAAUCACCAACCAAAUUGUGUCGGCGUCUCCUUGAGCUUUCUGUGUAAACCCAAAUUGUGCUAUUUUACAGAUACGGCUCGAAUUAAUAGGUGAUAUCAUAUCAAAUGGAAGUAUGCAAUUGAAUUGAAUCAUGUACUGCAAAAAUCAGUGUGAAUGUGAAAACACAACUCACUCUGCGGUCUUACAGUAAGUGUCAUGUUACUUAAGAGCCAAGGCACAAUCCAAAUCGAUAUUACCACAACCUCAUAAGCAAUCACACGCAAGUCACGAACAGUUGUAGUAGCACUAGUAAACACAGGCAGUAGUACUAGCAAACAGUGUGCCCAUCAGGCAGUAGUAUCAGUAGUACAUCAGGAGUGCGGAGAUGAUGGAUAUACUCAUCUUGAGAUUCAUUGACGCCUUAUCUGUGUGCGGCCCAAAUUAUAAAGCAUCUUCAUUCGGGCCCGGUGAUCUACAUGAGACCAACAUCACAUGAGCAUUUUUUUAGGGAAGCAUCACAUGAUCAUCUUAAAUUAGUAAGAUUAGAGGGAGGAACAAGUAGUAGCAUUAGUCGAUAGGUGACUGGCGACAAACUUACGUAUCUACACAUUUCCCGACCAGUGCGGCAGGUCAAAGUCGGAGAGUAUGAUGCCACUUCUUCCCUCGAAUCGCAGAGCAUUGGCGCAGCAAUGUCAAGAAGUCACCGGUGAUUUCGUGGAAGACUAGAUACUGGAGGGACACGAGGAACUCAAUGCCAGAUGGGACCUCCGUCAUGCUGUUGAGGUUGACAAGGGAUAAUCUUUCCAGGCUCGCCAUGGCACCUUGCUGUAUCUCUAGCCGGUUCAGAUUAGGCAGAUCUCUUAGAAAGAGAAUCUUCAGCUUGGAAAACCACCCCGUGAGAAAUGUCAGCUGCUCUCCGUUGUACGCUCUGGUGAAGUGUAGAAGCGUCAAGUUCGGCAACAAAGAAAGCGAUGGCAAGGGGUCUUUUCUCAGCUGUGACCAAGACAGAGCCAAUGAAGACAAGUUCUGUCCACCAACAUCUUGGAAGAGAGGAGACUCAUCCAACGCUCCUUGCUCUAAUCGUCCUCUCAAAGACAGCGUUUGCAGAUUUGGCGGGAGGACGUUCAACAAGAGAACCUCCUUCUCAUCACUUGCAUUCACAGAUAGCUUGGACAAAUACUGCAUCUGAACUAGAGACUCACGGAUGCGUCCACAGUAGAUUCCCUUUACAUUUGAUAACCUCAAGCUUCGAAGUUGCCUCAGCUCCCCUAAAUGUCUAACUGAUUCACCCUGUACUUCCAAUGUUCGUAGCGUUUGCAGGUUUGUUAGAUUCCCAAGACCAAUGGGGAUAGUCAUACCACUGUGACAAUGAAUAUCCCUCCAAUCUAGAUAAUUCAUCUUCUCGGCAAAUAAGUGCCUAAGCUUCUUCAAUUUGACAACCCCACUAGGCAAAUAAUGUAUAUCUGAUCUAUAAAGGUCCAGUGUCAACAAGUUUGAAAGCUUUUCAAUAGACCUAGGGAGCAUCUUUACUUUCGAAUUACGCAAACCUAAAUGGCGGAGACUAAAAAGAUCCCCAAUAGCAUCAGGAAUCUUCUCAAUGGGUAAGCCACUUAAUUCUAGCACUGUCAUAUAUCUUGACUUCUUACAUAACAGAGGUAGUAGAGUGAAUAAUGGCUUGUUACCAUCCGCUACAAUGACAGUUCGAAGUUGGCGUAUACUAGAAAACGAUUGCUGAAUAUCCUUCUUUAGUUUGUGCAUUACCAAUCGACGCCCAUCCAUCUCAAGAGAACCCCCACAUUUAUCCUCAUAUGUAACACCAAAACAAUCCUUCUGACACAAAUCAACAGCCAGUUCUCGUAAGAUAUCAUGCAUUCUGAGUUUCUUCGUCCUACCAAAUGAGUUCCUUUUAACAAGUUGUAGCAUGUUUCUAUCAAUUAACUCUUUCAGAUAGCCUUCUGCCACUUCUUCUAAUGUGCUUUCACCCUUCUCCUCAAUGAAUCCCUCUGCUGUCCAUAACCGUACAAGUUGUUUCCUUUUGAAAAGAUAGUCUUCUGGAAAUAAGCUGCAGUAUAGGAAACAACUUUUCAAGUGUGUUGGAAGGUAAAUGAAGCUGAGAUGCAAAAUAUUCCUUAUGUGAUCAAGCCUUAAGUUAUUUAUUAUCUCCCAACUCAGCUGGUCAUUUAUUCUUCUCCAUUCUUCCACAGUUUUCUCACGCACACGCAAGAGGCUACCAACUGACACAAUAAUGAGAGGCAAACCUUUGCACUUGCUAACUAUUUCGAAGGACAAAGACUUCAAGUGUACAGGACAUUCAUGAUUUUUAUCUGUUGGAAAGGCUUUCUUAUGAAAGAGAUCACAUGCCUUGUCUUCUGGUAAAGCCUCUAGCUUUAAGAUGCGUCCUGGAGAGGCAAAUGCAGCAACAUCUCCUUCCCUUGUUGUAAUUAUCAAUCUGCUGCCCUUGUCAUUAUGAAUAAGCACUCUAGACAAAUCAUCAAAUGCUUGUGGAGUCCAAACAUCAUCCAAUAUGAUCAAAUACUUUUUUUGCUCCAGGAAUCUCUUUAGUGUCUCUUCAAGGCAUGUGAUGUCCAUCGCUGCAGUGUUAGACAGAGCACUGACAUUAUCUUUGAAAAGUUCCUUGAUUGUAUUCCUCAGGACAUCUUCUCUAGAAUAAGUUUGAGAAAUGGAGACCCACGCGUGGCACUGGAAUUGCUCUCUCUCCUUCCUGUAGAUAUUUGCAGCUAAAGUUGUUUUACCAAGUCCUCCCAUUCCAAGCAGUGCUAUCACGGAGCACUCCAAAUCAGCACCUGCCAACCACUGCCCAAGUAUCUCUCUGUUUUUAUCCACCCCCACUAAGUCUUCUUCAUCAAGGGAACGUGAAAUAUUUGCUAGAUCUUGGGACCUCUUGACAAUGUAAUUCGAGCUACUAGUAUCCCCAUUCUGUAUCAUGGGGACCCAACGUUUUUUUAUCUCUGACAGGUGUGUGAGGUCUUUCUCUAUUUCCUUUGCCCUGAAAGCUAUCCGGUUCAAACAAAGCAGAGAUCUUGGUUUUCUGAAACCUUGCUUCAGGUAAAAGCAACACCCUAUAUCAUGUUCCUGAUCAAUUAGAUACAAGUACUCAUCCGCUAUGUCUUCCAUCACAUGUGCUACCUUCCGUACUUCCUCCAACCAGCCCUCAUAUACUUGAUUGCUGCUGUUUCGAAUGUCCAUUUGACAGACAACAUCAUGCAUGACGCGAAGCUCCCUUGCAACACGACCCAUGCUGCCCUGUAGCUCUAACUUUUGCGUCCCGUACUUCGCAAACUGCAUGCUCACCUGGGCUGCCGCUCCAUUUGCCAAGGCAUUUCCGAUCUUUUUAAUGGUUAGAAGGAUCACAAUCUCCGCCAUUAUUUUCUGAGAAUUACUAAUAUAUGUCUGUUGGAUAGUAGCCUAGUUGUAUAUUUUCCUCAAUAUCAUUGGAAUGGCCACUGCAAAAUGAGGUGAUGUAUUAAUUAAACUAUCAGUGCAUUCUGCUAAAAGACUUUUAAUCCCUCCAAUCACAAUAGAAAAGUGAAAAUAAGAAAAAAACUUUCAAAGCACUUCUCCCUUCGUCCCAAAAUAAGUGNNNNNNNNNNNNNNNNNNNNNNNNNNNNNNNNNNNNNNNNNNNNNNNNNNNNNNNNNNNNNNNNNNNNNNNNNNNNNNNNNNNNNNNNNNNNNNNNNNNNNNNNNNNNNNNNNNNNNNNNNNNNNNNNNNNNNNNNNNNNNNNNNNNNNNNNNNNNNNNNNNNNNNNNNNNNNNNNNNNNNNNNNNNNNNNNNNNNNNNNNNNNNNNNNNNNNCACUUAUUUUGGGACGGAGGGAGUAUUUGAUGCUGUUAAUCUAUGUAACUCUAACCCAAACAAUCAACCAAAAGUCCAAAAAGGCACUUGCAAUAGACAGAUCCAUGAGAAUUUUAGAAAGCUUGAGACUGUGUUAUAUCAAGUGUGGCAAACUUAAUGUUAUCAGCAGUUUCAGGAUUUAGAAAUCAUGUUGCAAUGAGUUCAAGCUAAUGCCAGGUCAGACACCUGGUGCUAUCCUUGGAAAUCACCUGGAUAUUGUACUAGUACCAAGAGAUCCCUGCUCAAUUCAACUGGCUUUGAAAAUCAUGAUGUCAAUUUAAGUAUAAGGUGUUCUGUCUCUGAGUAAUGAACAGGCUUAACAAUAGAGAAAUGCUACAAAGGAAGAACAUGUUUAUCCUAUCUUAUGGCCAUGUGUGAUCAGAAUGCACUUGAAUCUAAGGAACAUCAGUUAUUUAACUGUCAGUUUGCUAAAGCCUGCUGGAAUUGCUUAUGCCCAGGAGGCACUCUACACGGAUAAAUAAAAAGGUUAGUUCUCCUAACUCCUAAGCAGGCUUUGGGAGUUCCUUUCUUAUAGGGUUCAUCAGUUAAGUGACUUUGAGCAUAUGAGGAUUUCGAAAUGGCUUCAUCUUCAAUUAAAUAUCACCUAAUCAAUACAGCUGGCGACAAACUUUCAAGGAGGGGAUACAUCUGAUCUUUCACAAAAACAAAAACAAAAUCUUAAUAUGGCAUGUACAGUUUUCUGAAAAGAUUUAAUAUAAUGGCUUUUCUUUCCUUUUUUACCCUCCAUGUAUUUGUAUGUGUUCUCACUUUUUAUAAAAUUGUAGUGGGAAAUCGCCUAUUGUUUACAUCAAAAACAAAAAAAACUGACAAGAACGGGUGACAGCAAACAAGACAACUGACUGUGCAUCCUUCGCUUCACAUGGACUGGGAUCAGGUGACAUGCUCACGCUGUAACAUGCGCCCCUAUAUCUGCCGUUCAAACAAGAUCCAACAUCACUGAUUGACCCAAGCAAAAACAAGCAACAUCUAUACGGGCUUGGGACGGAUCUACUGCACCGCGCGAUUCCACGUGAACCUCUCAUGACGAUCAUGUAGUGAGUUGGAGUCCCAUGCUGUUCAUAUUCAGGUUGGACAUCUUCUGGAAUUUUACUUUGGCCAAAGAUGUUCUUACUCCCUCACCAGUUCAGUUGUACAAUGCUCUAAAGGACUGCUUGACUGCUUGUUUUUAUCUUAAUAAAAGUGCAUAUAUCUGCAGCAUCUCUUCAUGGAUUUGGCAUGUCCUGCUUUAAUAAGCAUCCUUGACUUGUAUCUCUGACUUGUUUACACUUGGGUCAAUCAGUGGCAUUGGAUCUUGUUUGAACGGCAGAUAUAGGGGCACAUGUUACAGUGUGACUUCCUGAAGGCAUGUCACCUGAUCCCAGUCUGCUUCACAUAGGGACAUAUGCAGUUAAAGCCUCCCAAAUGUUGAAGUUUUAAGUUUUAACCAAGUAAGACAGAGCUAACAAAUCUGAAUACAAGGCCAAUUCGCCAAUAUGAAUAAUAUUCUGCUUUCAGAUAGUUGGCUAAUGAGAUUGUUUUGGUAACUUAAUCCCAUGGUUUUCUCAAUAUCUACAUAAUAGUAUUUCCACAUGUAUGGAGAAACAAAUAGCUAGAGUUGUUGAUUAAGUUGCAAGAAAGAUGUACCACAAUCAAGAAAAGAAAUAAGAAAACAAAGCUAUAAUACCAGAUAUUAUUGGAUUACAAUUUAAAAUGUCUUCAAUCAAAAGGAACUACCAUAUUCACUUUAGGAGGCUCACACGCAACAAGAAUGCUGACAUAAGUAGGCUAGAGGUUGCAAUACCUGCUUAGCCUGACCGGAGGCGAUGGCGCUGGGAGAGGCGCUCCCUAGGGCGACAUCUGAGGCGACCGUAGGGGCGAUCCCUGUGGAGACCGGAGAAGUUCUCCCUGCGGCCUUUGGGGAGGACAUCGGAGAGGCGUUUGGUGGGGCGAUCGGAGAGCGGGGCGGCGGGCCGUCCUGCGCAUCCUCUCUGAUCGGCGGCGAUGGCGAAGGGAACUGCGAGGCAUCUCAUCGGAAAUGGGCUGUGUCUUUCGAAGACACAUCUUCAAAAGAUCGAAUGCAGCGAUUCGGUUUCAUCAAACUUCAUCAGGUAUCUCGCUGGAUCACCAUUCGGGAUGAGGAUAACGACAUUUUGGCAGGUCGCUACCUGCAGAUGGAGGAACUUCCGAAGAGUGGGCAUACCAUGGAGAUUGAUGGGUUUAGGCUUUUUAUCGGAGAGCCCUGUGUAGUUAAUCCAGGGGAUUCCAUGAGCAAGGUACGUUCUGAUCUUGUUUCUAACUCCCCUCGGUUUGGAGGGCGAUUCUGGGUACUCGCAGAUCAGGAUUCGGAGGACGAAGCAGAGGAGAUCAAGUCCGACGCAGAGGAGAUCAAGUCCGACGCGAUAGAGAACGUAUUAGCCUUCAAGCGGACAAAUGGCGAGACGAUCAGGGUACCAAUUCGCAAGGGGUAAUAGCUCAACCUAGGAUCCCGAGGAAACCCCUGUUGAAGCAGAAGGUUCGUCCUUGGAUCGGUCCUCUGCCAAAAGGUAAACUAGCACCGAUCACCUUGUCGGAAUUCUUCCCGCCGGCGGCCUGGUGCGUCGUCAAAGGCAGGAAAAAGAAGAACAUGGUGGCUGCGAGAAUUAGGGAGUCAGCGCCUGAUUCUCGGCCGUUUUUACCGCAUGUACAUGCGCGUUUCCAUAGAGAAUUCUUUUGAAUUCCGCUACGGUUGCGGCUGGUUUAACGCUGGACUCUAGCGUGAUGGGUCUCAAUGGGUAUGUGGCCCAGGAGAUUGCGCCUGUUGCUGACAAGUCCGGCUCGGACUGCGCUAGCCCUGGGUAUAGGACCCAGGACUUAGCCCUGUCGAUUGCUGAUCCUAUCGAUCACGAUACUCCUUCCCCAGACGAUCACGGUGCGCAUCCUAGGGUUCUUCGGCGACUCAGCAAGGGUUUCCCGUCGCUGGGACUAGGGCGCGCUGCGAGGGUACCGCCUCCUUCCUCUGGUGGAAGGGAUAUGGCGGGCAGGGGCGCUCCCAGGCAGCCACCGGCCUCGCAGCCCAGACCGCCAGGACAGGGGGAACGCCCCGGCGCCAAGCCAGUUCCUGCUGGGCAUGGCGCUGCGCAGGCAGGGCGCCCACCUGGUCCAGCCAGUCACGCAGGAGAGCAAGGAGAUCAGAGGGGUCAUCAGCGAGGAAGAUGGGGCAACGAUGGUAAUAACACAUAUGGAGAUGGUCAUCGCGGAUCAUCUUCCUAUGGAGCUGGACGCGGUCAUGCGGCUACUACCAAUGGAGGUACCAACCAGGGUUUUUGCGCACCACCGGGAAAUUUUGUGCCGGGGACGUCGGGACCUUCUCAUCACAAGAGAGGUGGAUUCCGACAGAAUUGGGCAGCCAGAGGGGGAGGUAGGAAGCCCAGGCCUCCAAUGCCGGCUCAAGAGUUGCAGACAGAGACUGCUGUCCCUAUUAAGGCGGAUGGGCCUGAGCCUGUGAAGGAGGCAGCCGACCCUGUGGCUGAACAGAAUGUUGGGGUAGCAAAAGGAGAUGGAGGUGACCGACCUUCCAAGUGGGCACGUAAGAAAGAGAAGAUGGUGUGCUAUCGAUGUAGCGAGGCUGGACACUUUGUUUCUGAAUGCAAGGCUGAGCUCUGUGGAUAUUGUCUUAAGCCGAUGCAUGGUACAGCUAAGUGCCCCCUUACGAUUGGGAGUGUGCCGGUGGUGACCAUCUAUGGUGUCUCGAGUCAAGAAUUAAUGUUCUUCGAGUCGCCAGCGGCGACAGCGACACUGCAUACUCCAGAUGCUGGUUUCACGGGCACGAUGACGGUGACUCGGGGAAUGCUGACCGUGGAGCAGGUGGUGCAACAGCUCAAGGAGCUUGUAUCAUCAACUUUCAAGUGGGAACCGGUGCUGAUUUCAGAUAAUGUCUUUAAGAUUGUCUUCCCUACAAAGGAGGAUUUGGCUCGUUUACUUAAGUUCGGUAUGUGCAGAGUGGCUAGCACAAGCUGUGUACUUGAGUUUGAUGCCUGGAAGUGUGAGGAGCCCAAGGGGGUUCCGCUACCGCAGAUUUGGGUACACUUUGCGGGUGCUCCUUCCAGGGCCAUUAACGACUUUAGAGUUGUUUGGAGUUUGGGUUCGCUUAUUGGUAAAACAGAGGAGGUAGAUAUGGUGUUUACUAGAGCCAAAGGCGUCGCAAGGAUGCUGGUGAGUGUGCUAGAUAUUCAAAUCAUUCCAGAUGAGGUCAUGUGGACUUAUGAGGGGAUGAGAUACACUCUCCAGGUGGAGAUUGAGAGUCCUACUCUCUUCGAUGUACCGGACACGGAUAAGGAUACUAAUAUGACUGAUGGGGAUGAUGCGGAUGGAGCCAAGGAUAACACGGAUGCUGAUUUUGAUUCAGGGCCCAAGUUCUCUUCUCAGAAGACUACGCCAUCACAACCCGCUCGGUCUAUACAACCCUCAGGCACUGGUACUAAGCAUUUGGCUGUUGCAUCUGAUCUUGACUUGCGGUUUGGUUCUUUUGAGCCUGCUUCUGAGCCGGCAAAAUUCUGUCGGUCAAUGCGCAAGGAUCUUUACUCGAGGGCGAAGCUGCCGAGGUUCCUGGGUAAGAAGCCUAGGAGCAAUAUUGGUAGUAUGCAGUCCACGAAUAAGCUGCAACCAGUUUCCUUGGGGACAUACCUGGCAGAGGCAAAGGUUAGAGACCAAACAAGGACUUUUAUUUCAGAUUUGGAGGCUGUACCAGUGUGCCCAUCCGCUGGGGUUGGGGAUGCUGAUGUUUCACCGGUUGCUGGAGCACCGGUGCAAUCACUGGUAGGUGCUGGUGCACCGAUGCCGGCCGGUACACCCGCUGCUGGUUCCGCCGCGAAGUUCAUGGAGGCUCAGUUCGGAGGUGGGGCACGCAUGGGUGAAGACCCGCUCUCCGCUGCGUCAAGUCAGGAUCCUCCUGCACCUUGCACAGCCGAGACUGCUGCUGUUUGUGGUGUCGCCGAUGAUCGGCUGGUGCAUGGCGGUGUGCAUGCAGGCCUGGAUUUUGCGCCAAACGGUACCGGUGUUCAGUUGGAUGCCGUCACUGGUGAUGCUAAGGAUGCCAACACGGUGGGACAGGAAGUUAACUCUCCGACAGUAGUUACACCGCAGCCAGCUACAAUCUCUAUUGAUGAUGUCAUAGCGUUUGGAGGCGUCCCAAAUCCAAUGGGUCCGAAGAGACGGACUAGUCAACGGGUGCAGUCUCAGCCCGAUGUGGAUGACUUGCAGAUUGGGCGGGCUAUGCAGGCGGCCAAAAUGAAAGAGGUUCAGAAUACGACAGGUAUGUCUAUUAAUACUGAGCAUUCCAUUCUUCAUUUUUCUCCGCAAGACAUUAUAGAUAAUGCUACCGCUGUGGGGGUUAACUUGGGUAGUACGAGCAAGGAGGUUUCCAAAUCUAUUAAUGAUUUAUUGGACUUAGAAGUUGAUAGGGCGUUGGAUAUUAUUCGCAACUUAGCUGCCAUUAAACCAAUGAAUGAUGAGGCCAUAUCUAAUAUGGGGGGGCUGAAUUUACUAUGUGAAAAUUUAGCCUCGCCUGAGGAUGGUGAGGACUCACACAAGUUUUUGCAUCAUAACCAGCAACCCAAUGGUACACUUAAUGAUGAGGGCAAAGAUACGACUGGUUAUAUGGACCAGGAGUAUGCUAUUGAAAAGCCUAAACGAACUUAUAAGAGGAGGGUGUAUUCGGUUUCUGCUAUACGCAGGAGCGCGAGAUUCAAGACUGCUAAAAAAUUCUACGAUGAGAUAUGAAAGGAAUGUUCUGGAACAGCAGAGGUCUGAGAGACUUGGCUAAAAUUCGGUUCAUUGCGGAAACAACGUUACACCAUAGUCUAGACUUCAUCGCGUUGAUGGAGACUGGACGGGAUAAUUUCACAUCGCAAUUUCUCAACUCUCUUUCAGGAGGCGCUGAAUUUGAUUGGCAUUGUCUCCCCCCAAGAGGAAGGUCCGAAGGGAUCUUACUUGGUGUCCGUUGUCAUACACUUCAAGUUCGAGAAGUGGUGCUCGGGGAGUUUUCGAUCAAAUUUCGAAUCAGAACCAAGGAAGAUGGGUUCCAAUGGGCUCUCGUUGCGGUUUAUGGGGCCGCACAAACAGAGCAAAAGCCUGCCUUUCUUGCUGAUUUAGUUCGAAUUUGCGAUGACACCCUACCACUUGUGGUAGGUGGUGAUUUCAAUAUUAUCAGGAGAGCUGAUGAGAAGAACAAUAAUAAUUUUGAUGGCAGAUGGCCUUUUAUGUUCAACACAAUUAUAGAGAGCCUAAACCUACGGGAGAUUAAUCUCUCAGGUAGGAAAUAUACUUGGGCUAACUCUCUACAUCAUCAAACAUUUGAAAAAUUGGACAGGGUACUUACUAGUGUUGACUGGGAACAAAAAUUCCCGCUAGUCACGGUUUGUGCACUUCAAAGGGCUAUAUCUGACCAUACCCCACUCCUCCUAGAUUCUAGCCAGGCCACUCACAAAGGGAAAAAAGAUGCUUUCUCUUUUGAAUCCAGUUGGUUCACACGUGAGGGGUUUGUGGACAUGAUUGCUAGGGAAUGGAACAAGGAUGUGGGGGGAGGGAAGUCUAGUGUUGAUAGAUGGCAAAGUAAAAUUCGACAUCUUAGACAAUUCUUGAGAGGUUGGGCUAAGAAUAUCUCUGGGGUUUAUAAAGACGAGCAAGAUAGACUGCUCCAAUUUAUAGACACUCUGGAUCGUCAGGCAGAAACUCGCUUGCUAGAUGAACACGAGAGGUCUUUGAAGUAUGAUGCUGAACAAAGAGUUCGGAUCCUUCUUCGAGAAGAGGGAAUGAAAUGGGCUCUUAGAGCUAAAGUUAGGGCUUUGGUCCAAGGGGAUGACAACACAAAUUUUUUCCACUUGAUUGCAAAUGGCAAGCAUCGGAAAAAGAGGAUAAUACAACUAGAACAAGAUGAGGGUACAAUAGUAGGUCAUGAGAAUCUAAAAUUGUACAUCACAAAUUAUUAUAAACGGUUGUUUGGUGCUCCGGCUCAUAGUUUUGUGUCUAUGGACGAGCAUCAGAUCGCGGAUAUUCCUCAGGUCGGACGGUCCGACAACGAGUGUCUUUCCGCACCAUUCCUAGAGAAAGAGGUGUUACAAGCGAUUCAGGGUAUGAAGAAUGGUAAAGCACCGGGGCCAGAUGGGUUCCCAGCUGAUUUCUAUAAGAAAUGUUGGCAUAUCAUUAAGGAUGAUCUCAUGUCUAUGUUUCACGAUCUGUUUUCCGGGCACUUACAACUCUUUCAUCUUAAUUUUGGUACGAUUACGUUGCUACCAAAGAAAGAGGGUGCUUCGCGUAUUGAACAAUUUCGCCCCAUUUGUCUGCUCAAUGUGAGCUUCAAAAUUUUCACAAAGGUGGGAACGGAUAGGCUAACCAAAAUGGCACAUUCUGUGGUGCAAUCUUCGCAGACGGCCUUUAUGCCUGGUCGGAACAUUCUUGAAGGAGUUGUCGUUCUGCAUGAAACCCUGCACGAAUUGCACUCCAAGAAGCUUAACGGAGUACUUUUUAAGGUAGACUUCGAAAAGGCUUAUAAUAAGGUCAAAUGGUCUUUCUUGCAACAAACUCUUCGUAUGAAGGGGUUUGGCGAGAUUUAGCGAAAACAUAUCGAUUGUUUUACACAAAGGGGUAGUGUCGGUAUUAAAGUUAAUGAUGAUGUAGGUCAUUUCUUUCAGACAAUCAAGGGACUUAGGCAAGGAGAUCCUAUGUCACCUAUUCUAUUUAACAUCGUAGCAAAUAUGUUAGCGCUAAUGAUCAGGAGGGCUAAUAACAAAGGGUUAAUACGGGGAUUAGUGCCACACCUAGUAGAUGGGGGGGGUCUCCAUCCUACAAUAUGCGGAUGACACAAUCCUUUUCAUGGAACACGAUCUCAAAAAAGCCAGAAAUAUGAAGCUAAUUUUAUGCUUAUUCGAACAGCUAUCUGGGCUGAAGAUUAACUUCUACAAAAGUGAGCUCUUCUGUUUUGGGGACGCCAAAGCAGAAGAGCUCACAUAUAAUCAACUCUUUGGUUGUGAAGGUGGUACGUUGCCGUUUACGUACUUAGGGAUCCCUAUUCACCACCGAAAAUUAACUAUCAAGGACUGGAAGUGCAUAGAGGAUCGGUUUGAGAAAAAAUUGAGCUGCUGGAAAGGCAAGCUACUAUCCUAUGGAGGACGAUUGGUUUUAGUUAACUCGGUGUUGACAAGCAUACCAAUGUUUCUACUAUCCUUUUUUGAAGUACCAGUAGGGGUGCGAAAAAGGUUGGAUUUCUACCGAUCACGAUUUUUCUGGCAGAGUGAUGAGAUCAAGACCAAGUAUAGGCUGGCUAGAUGGGAUAUUAUUUGUAGGCCAAAGGAUCGGGGAGGGUUGGGGAUUGAAAAUUUAGAGGUUAAGAACAGGUGCCUGCUCAGCAAGUGGCUUUUCAGGCUAUCUGUGGAAUCAGAAGGAAUGUGGGUACAAAUUCUGAAGAACAAGUAUCUACAGCAAAAAACCUUAGCUCAGGUCACUUUGAGACCGGGAGAUUCACCUUUUUGGAAAGGUCUAAUGAGGACUAAAACGGCUUCUUUUAACAGGACUAAAUUCAUCAUAGGUAAUGGUGAAUCUACUAGAUUCUGGGAGGAUAGUUGGCUAGGGGACGUGCCACUAGCUAUACAAUAUCCGCAGUUGUAUAAUAUUACCCAGCGCAGACAGACGUCUAUUGCGGUAGUAUUACGUGAGACCCCUCUUAACAUCCAGUUUCGCAGAACCUUAGUUGGCAAUAGAUGGGGUAGAUGGCUACAUCUAGUCAGAAGGCUAAUGGAUGUUAGUCUUACUGAUGUUCCUGAUCGUAUUACUUGGAGACUGACCUCCAAUGGUACAUUCUCAGUGAAAUCAAUGUAUGACCAUAUUAUUGACAAUACACCUAUUCCAAAAUCUUCGCAUAUUUGGAACGUUAAAGUGCCACUUAAGUUAAAAAUCUUUUUGUGGUUUGUUCACAAAGGUGUUGUUUUAACAAAGGACAACUUAGCCAAGCGAAAGUGGAAGGGAAAUCGAAGGUGUAGCUUCUGUCAGUCGUCUGAAACAAUUAAGCACCUCUUUCUGGACUGCCCUAUGGCUAAAAUCUUAUGGCGCUCAAUCCAUAUUGCCUUUAACAUCACCCCGCCUACUAGCAUUAACAUGUUAUUUGGGACGUGGCUGGACGGGGUUAAUGUUCGUUUAGCCAAACUAAUUCGAGUUGGAACAUCCGCACUUUUGUGGGCUAUAUGGAACUGUAGAAAUGACCUAGUUUUUAGCAGACAACAUUGUAUUAAUUUUUUGCAGGUCAUCUUCAGGACUACCGCCUUGAUCUGCAUGUGGUCCUUACUCACUCCUGUUGAAACCAGGGAGCCUUUGGUUACUGGGUGUGCCCGAUGGGAGAUGGUAGCUCAGGCUAUCUUCAGCCGAUAUGGAUGGCGACAUGUUGAUAGAAUAGGGAGUUAGCCAACUUCACCUAUUUGUAUCUUUGGUUUGGGCGUUGAUCGCCUUGUAAUUUCUGCUCACAGAUUACCGUUAGACUCUGUACUUGCUUUGGAUUAUUCCGGUUUUUAAUAAAGGGCUGCAUGCAUCACUCGAUGCAGAGGCCGGGGCGAUGCCUCCUUUUCGAAAAAAAUAAGUAGGCUAGAAAUUCCAACAUUACUGUGAUUUCAAUGCAACAGGAUAUGCGCAUCAUGUGUUAACUAUGCCGGCAAUAACGACUAACAAGCAUGAUCAACAACUAUCCUACAGGUUGAUUCCAGAUUAUUUUUUAAUCCAAGGGAAACAACGAGAGCAACUAAAACCAGACCAUUACCUGGCGUAACAAAUGAAGAAGUUGGCAUCUGAUUGAUCUCGGUGACAUCCUUGUUCGUUCCUGAAGCUGACACAAUCACAACAGUCUCAUGGAUUCUCGAAAUUCUGAGCCUCAUGGCUUGGCUGGUCUUGUUGUCAUUGAAACUUAAUCGUGGAGAUCCUAAACUUUUAUGGACUCAUGGGUUAUGGGUAUAACCGGGUCUACUAGCCUACUGUUGAUGACAAACAACUGGAUUUGAUCUUCAACUUGAGGUAUCCUCGUUCCUUUUACCCAUCAAAACCAGAGACAACCACCCACCUGGCUUGUAAUGGUAAGAACUGUUUAUUUUCGCAUCGACCUAGCUAGGAUAAUUAUAGGAGAACUAGGAACAGAUCCAAAUUAAGGGCAACGCACCUGGCUUAAACGAUGUAGAUCCGGCCAGGUAUGACCUGCGGUGACCUUCUUGUGCCCUUCAGAAUCUGAAUUCAUCAAAAUUGUGUCAUGACUGAGUGGGGAACGCUAGUCUUGUUGAAGCCAUCAAGAACCAGCCAGAGAGCCCGCAAGUCAAGUCAAUGCUAUUAUUAUUGUGCUUCUGGUUGAAGCUCAAUUAUUUUCCAUCAUGCCGCAUUGUCUGAAAGCACCGUGUGUGUGUGCACAUCCGAUUACUUGCAGUGUUCAUGGGCCCCACACACAAUCACUUCGAUAUUGUUCUUGUGGUCUCUGUGCCGCCGAGUUAAUUGCAAAAAACCAUCAUAUGUGUAGCUAGGUUUACUGAAAAUUACCCGGUUCCUAAUUUUUUGCAAAAGCCACUGCAUUUCUGAUAAACUUCUUGCAAGAACUGAUAGCUUGCUUUGCCGCAUUUGAUCGCGUCUCUGACAGGUGGGGUCCAUUUUUUAGGAGUUGACCAAAAAAAUCACCACGUGUGGAGUCUUCUAACUUCUCCUCUCUUCCCCUUUCACACACACAUUACAACAAACAUGUUGUGUGCACUGGAAGGGAACUGACACCACCAGCUUCGUCACCGUCGCCAGCCGCCACGCCCCGCGCAGCCCCUCGCCUCCGUGCUCCACAAUCUUCUGCAGCCGUUCGCCGCUCGCCGGAUUGGCCGUCAUCGAACUGGUCGGCGCCGUUGUCGCCGAGGACGGUGCGGGCCAGAGCCAUCCUCUGCUUCUGCAAAUAGUCAAAGAAAUCCAUGGACGAACACUGCACGCUCGAGAUGUAUCGAUUACAUCAACGGAGAAGGAGAAGGGACCUACGGCUACGGGGUUGAGCAUGCUGUGCGCCUUGAAGCACGCCUCGAGGACGGCGUCUGGUCCUUUGACAGCCCGAGCUUCUUGCGCCCGCCGGGGCCGUCCACCGGUCCACGCCAUCGUUAUCCUCGUUGCUGCCCGCUCGACCUCGCCCGUGUGCGCCUGCGGGGGUGCACGGCGUCCUCCGGGCCGCGAACACGGAGGGUUGUGGCAUGUGCGGGCUGUGCUGCGGCGGCGGAUGCAUACAGAGCAACCGCUGGUGUGUUGUAGCCGAGAUGCAGUCGGAGUCGAAGGCCAGUUCAGGAGUUACUCACGAUGUCCCGACUAGGGGGCUCUCACCGUGGGGAGCUGCAGCACCUGCACGCCUGCAGCACUGCUAGCAUGGGUCGGUCUAUUAAAGUGUUGCUUAGUUUUUAUUUUAUUUUAUUGUUACAAAAAUAAAAAUAUAAGAUCAAAAAAGGUUUACAGAUUUAAAUUAAAAAAAGUCCAUCCAUUUGAAAAAAGAGUACAUUUCUUUAAAAAAGGUUCAUCAAUUUGAAAAAAAGCUCAUAAAAAUGAAUAAAAGUUCAUCCAAUUUAGGAAAAUUUCAUUAAAUUUUUAAAAAGUCCAAUAAAUUUGUAAAAAGUUCAUAAAAAUUCAACAAAAGUUCAUGUAUUUUUUUUAAAGUUCAUUGAACUGAAAAAAAGUUUAUAAAUCUUAAAAAAGUUCAUCCAUUUUCAAAAAGAUGUUCAUCAAAAUUCAAAAAAAUACAUCGAUAUUAAAUUUUUUUCACCAAUCUUAAAAAAUAAUUCCUGCGUUCCAAAAUAAGUGUCUUAAGCUUAAUACAAAUUUAUACUAGAGCUAGUAUAAAGUUAAGACUGUUAUUUUGGGACAGAGGGAGUAUUUGCUGAAAUUUAAAGAUGAUCAUCAAUAUUCAAUUAAGUUCAUAUAAUCUUUUUUAAAACAUCAAACAACGUCUAGAUGAGCCGGCCCAUUUAUGAACGCCACAGUCGCGUGUUAACAAAAAUGCACGUUAACUGGCGUUUCUGGUGUCAAAGAGGAAAUGCCCUCACCGUGACCAUUCCCAACCUGGUGGCGGGCCGGGUCAAAGACCUCCCUUGUCAUUUUUGUCUUGGGCCACAACGGUCAGCCCACGAUUACAAGUAAGAUCCCGAAGACUUGACGUAUACUUCAAGAUGAUAAAAUCACACGAAACCCUGGUUCCUCGUACAUAGUUGACUAGGAUCCUAUAAACAUUCGGAUCAUUGAUGCCUAUAUAAAUCAGCCUAUAUAAAUCAAGGGGCCAGACUUAAAACAUUAGAAACAUGUACAAUAUACUACAUCCAACAAAUAAACACAAGCGAAACGUAAGGUAUUAUCUUUCGGAGAGCUCGAACCUAGGUAAAAUCAUGUGUCCUUGUUACCAUUGCUCUUAGAUGCCUAGCUUAGGAUUCAUAACCUAGCUUAUCUCGAGAUCUGUCGAAUUUAACUCCGUCAAGUGGCGGUUUCCAUCAUGACAUGCCUAUCUAGCAGAAUGAUGCACUGGUGGAGAAAUGGCUAGUCACAACUUACGUUGGUGACGUGUCGUUUCUCACAUUGCCGGCACUAAUAUUUUCAAAUAGUGCUGGCAUGGGCUAAAUCCGUACGCCAUAGCUAUUAUCUUAGUGCUGGCGGCACAUUAGGCCCGGCGUUGCGCAUUCAGACCCAUUAGGCCCGUGCCAGCACUAUUCGGUUUUAACAGCCCGACGUAGUAAAAAAAGUUAUCUUUUGUCGUUACUCUCUUUCCCCAACUCCACCGACCCAUGCUCCUCUCGAUCCCCGUCGUCACCGCUGCCUGAUGCAUCCCCGUCUCCGCCCGACACCGCCCUGCCGAGGUAUGGAAAUCCAUGCAUCUCAUUUGCUUCAAAAGUAUGUUAAUUCAAAACGAUUCGUAGCUCAAAUUGCCAAUCCAGUUGGCCAGCCUUUUCACCACUAAAUGUUGCGCAACGAGAUCGCCAAAAUUAGGUCAAAACUAAUCACGUGAUACUAUAAGAGUUACCAUGCUUUUCAUAUGCCAUUAUCAACAUAAAACUUUUCUCGGUUGGUGUGUUGGAAACUAUUUAAGCCUGAAAGUUACAAAAUGAUUAGCUUUUGAUUUAUCAAACAGUUCAAGAAUAGUUAUCAACUUUGAAACUUAAAAAGAUUUCUAAAGGAUGCUUUUGUUAGGAGUUACAGAACUGCUCACAUUGUUUGAGGUGGGAGGUGGGAGUCGCCAUUCCGUUGCCUGAGUUUGGAUUCUCGGCCUAUUUCCACACUCAUAAUGAGUCUACUGAGGUUACCUCCUUCUCGCGGCCCGACCCUAAUCCUACGAUGGAUAUUCGAUCCUCGCAGGAGGCCCAUCUGGCCUUUGAUGAACUCAUUAAUGGCAUGGUUGAGGAUAUCUUUUCUUGCUCAAUUUGCAACGCUCGGGGCCAUCUAGCUGCGAACUGCACGGCUUAGCCUGGAUUCGCUGUCAGUACUGUGGGCCACACACGAUCUAGAGGAGCCUCUUUUAUGCGUAAUAAUUGUCUUACUUGGAACUGUAAGAGACCCGCCACCUCCCAUGUCGCUGAUAUCUCGGGAACUGCUGAUACUCUUGGUGAAACCGCAACGCCUGCGGCACAGUUCCGUCCUGUCUCAUCGCCGUCGCAUCCUCGAACUCCCUCCGAGACGCCACCUGCCACUCCGCCACCGCCUCCCGCAAUGGCGAACUUCGAGCUUGAUCCUGAGUUCUUCCUCCCGCCUGGCCACAACAUCAUCGAUGGAGGACCGGACCGGCUGCCUCGGACCUACACCACGCCUGCGGUCCCCAUCACCAGACGUCAUGAGCGUUUUGUCAUCGCUGACGUCCAUCCCGCACCCCCGGCUGACAACGUCAUUCAGGUACGGCAAGAAGUUGUUGCUUUUCUACUUCACCGAGGGUUUCAUGUUCGGUCUGCCCAGCCAUGGAUUGAGGGUGUUGGAUUAUUUGAGCUCCGAGAUGCGGCGGAAAGUUAUGCUGCGGUCCACAUGGUUCCGCAGGAAGUUGCUCAUAACUCUGUGGUGCGCUUCCUGCGUCAUGAUCAGGGUCUUGGUUUCCGUGGUCAAGAGGGUUUUCGUCAGGGCUGCCUCAUGAUUCUGGGGGUCCCCCUGGACUUCCGCAACACUGAAGAUCUUCGGGCUGCUGUCAACACCUUCGGAGAGUUUCACCAUUGGGUCAGUGAUGAUCCUUAUUUGGUACGCUCUAUCGUGUUUGCUUCGUUCCCAGAUGACCAGCUGGUCCCUCGCAGUAUCAACUUCUCUGAAUAUGCUGCUUGGGGAGGCGCCAAGGUUUCCUGGUCUGCGCCGGUUUACAUCCUUGGUGCGGAGGCUGCCGAGAUUUUUCCUAAUGAUGAGGAUCCCAUGCCCCUCAAUGGCAACCCUCACCCGCUCCCUGGACAUCUCGUUCAUGAUAAUCUGCAAUUUGCUCUGCCACCGUAUCCUGCGCUGGGUUGGAAUGCGGUGCCGCUGGCGCAUGAAGAUCCAGUGGUUCCUGCUGCUGAUGUUGAAGGUUGGGGACAGCCGCCUGCUGCCGCUGAUGAAGGAGGAUGGGAACCUGAAGCGGCCCCGGAAGCACCUGCUGCCGAUCCUGUUCAGGAUCAAGAGUCUAUGGUGAUUGAUCAACCGAGUCCUUCUUCUUCGGACUCGGUUCAUGAGCUUGUGGACCUAGACCCUCAGCCGCAGGGUGACAUGGAGGUGGAACCUGCUGAUCAAGAACCCCCGCUGGCUAACCCGGAUGCCCCUGAUGCUGACAUGCCACUGGCUGCCCAGGGACAUGAUGCUGAGCCGGAGGAAGAUGUGCCUGUGAUGGAGGAGGCACACGAUGACAAUCCUCUGGUAAUUGUCCUCUACAAAGCCCCUCACAUUCAGACAGACAACAUCUUUGUUGGGGCUGCAAGGGUUGUGUACGGGCCUCUUAAUUCACAUAUGUUAAUCUGUUACUGUACUAGCUCCAUGUACUGUCGAACUCCUGCUUGCCCUGUCUUUUGGUUUUCGGAACCUUGGUCGCACUGGCUAUUACAUAGCCCUGCUUUUGCUAUAUAUAUAUAUUGUGCAAUGGAUAGUCGUUCUACGAGAAGUUGGCGUGUGCUGUGUUGGAAUGUGUGUGGCCUAAAUUCAGACAUAGGCAGCGUGCGGUCCGUAACAAGAUUUAUGAGAGCCUAGCUGCUGUGGUGUGCUUGCAGGAAACAAAAAUGCAAUCAAUAGAGUUUCGUACAGUCAAAUGUUUGUGUCCCAAACGCUUUGAUCAGUUUGCUUACUCUCCUUCCAGGGGUGCAUCAGGGGGGCUUAUCACCCUUUGGAACUCUUCCAUUCUCACUGGUCAACUAGUGGAAUGCACACUGUCGUGGGUAUAAGCCUGACAGUAGAUGUGUAGGGUACGAAUGAGAUGGGCAGAGUCCUAGCUACGACGAGGUUGUAUGAGUUCAGGCCCCUCUACGGUGGAGGUAAUAGCCCUACGUCUCAGUGCUCUCGGAGCUUGUUACCGAGUGUAAUAUGGAGUACAAUGUUUUUCUAACCCCUUUACCAGUGGGGGAGGGCGGCUUAUAUAGAGUGCGCUGCCCCCCACAACGGUUCUGACUCGGGGGUGGAGUAGUGGCGAUUGAAUGCGUACGUUACAAGUAACGUAUGCUCUAAAUGCUAAUAAAUGCACCCGGAAACGUACGACAGUUUCCCUCCUAAGAGGUUACGACGUACCGAGUGUAUCCAGUCGGUGAGCCCGGUGUCCUCCGAAUGCUAGUUACCGACUGGAUGAUUCAGGGCCUGUUACCGACUGGAUGAUGGGGAUACCUUAAUUCAGUCGGGACAGACUUAAGGUCCUGUCCUUUGUGUGGGGUAGUCCUUGGGUAGGACAUGUAGGGCAGGCCUAUGACCCUACCCUAGGACUAUGACCCCAUCAUUAGUCCCCGAAUGGAUUGGGGUUGAAACGUAGAAGCGGUGCUUGAGGUUCAGACCCGACUGAACUAGGUUCGGCUUGGGCGUUGCUUGCCUCUAUCCAUUUUAUCUCUCUCGACCAACGCUCCGAGUGGAAGUGCUUGCGAAACAGACUGUCGGGAACCGAGUGUUUGCACGACAUCUUUUGACGCGACCGGUCAACUGACAGCGGCGGAUUUUCCGGGAUCUCAAAUUUCGGGUUCCGCGCGCUCAGCGGGGACGACGUCAGUGCGCUCGAGUAGCGCCUGACUCCUCGAUCCUCACGCCUUUAACUCCUCCACUGAUAUCGCCGCGGCUGGUUGGGUAGAUAAGAUUUCGGGCCCGCUCGCCAGCGACCCAGUCGGUGCUCUAUUUAACUCUGGGCGACGAGACCCUUCGGUUACGCUCGCCGAAUCUUUCGCUCUUGCUUGCUCCGUCUUCCUCGCCACCUCCUGCGCUCAUACACCUCUCUCUUCCUCUCCUUCUCGAGAGUUCACCGUCGCCUCCAUGACCAAAGGUCAGACCAGCAAGAUGGAGGCGAGGAAGAAGAAGAGCAAGGCGGCGGCUGCUGAGCGGCGGCAGCGGCCGUUGCCGGCUGGGUGGAUCCAGGGAGACUUUCUCCCCUCCACGGUGACGGAGGGGGACCUGCUGGAGCUGGUAGAGCACGGCCUGCUCACGCAUAAGUCCUGGAGGUUGCCGGCGGACGACGAGGUCGAGCCGGCGCCACGGGAGGGGGAGCGCGUCUUGCUCCUCAACCAUGUUCACAGAGGUUUCUCUCUGCCCCCGCAUCCCUUCUUCAAAGGUAUCAUGAAUCAUUUUGGUGCUCAACUCCAUCACUUCCCUCCGAAUGCCAUCGCCCAUCUUUCUGCCUUCAUUGUUUUGUGCGAGUGCUUUAUCGGUUGCCCCCCCAUUGGGGUCUAUUCAAACAUAUCUUCUCCGCCCGCUCUCAAACCAUCAAACGUCUUAGUCAGUCGGAUGACAAGACGCAUCUCCUCCAGCUCUGCGGGGGUUUAGGGUUUCAGAAGAAAAGUCGGAGUAGUUAUCCCGCUCUCCAGUUGAGCGAGUCGGUCAGGAACUGGCAGUCGACGUGAUUCUACUGCCAGGACAUAGCCUGUCCGAAUGCAUCGACGGGGCUGCCUCCGUUUAGUCUAGACCGUCCCGCUCCGCCCAAACAACUUGCGCUCUCCAAGCCGAGAAGAACGAUAUCCAGCCUUUGGUUGAGGCACUCGUGGACAUUGUCAGGAGAGGAGUCACCGGUAUAGACCUGCUGGAAGUCUUCAUCGGUCGGCGGAUCCAGCCUCUGCAGGCUCGGGACCACGCUAUGUGGCACUACACAGGGCCCGAGGAUUCCACUCGGACCAUCGUGGUGGGCAUACUCGAGGAGAAGGUGACCUCGUUGGUGCUCCAAAUCACGGGCCCUUGUGAGAACCCUAAAGGAGCUCGCCGAGUGGCGCCUUACAGCGCGGACAACCCUCCACCGAAUCAGGUGAGUGGCAUCGGCCGAGUGCGUCGAAUCGUCUUUAUUCCAGUCGUUUAUUUAUAUCCUCGUGUGAUGUUUAACGUUUCCGACUGAUCCUCAUGCAGGAGUGGACCAACUGGUUCUCCCCCGUCUCGAACGGGAAUCCGGAGGAGGAAGAGGAGGAAGGCAGCCAGGAGGGGAGCGUGGAGAGCGCCGAAUAUGUAUCCGACAGCGGAGAGUCGGAGGAGGAGGACAGCAAGGAGGAGGAAGAAGACGAAGAGCGCGACUCGCCACCUCCACGGCCAGAGCAUCGGAGUAAACGUCGACACGAGCCUGCCGUCCCUUCGGCUCCUCCUGCAUCGUCGAGUGCUCCGCCUGCCGCUCCGGUGGCUCCGAGUGCUCGAGGCACAAAGAGGUCCAGGGACGCCCCCGCUGAGCCUGCAGGCCAGUCUUCCAGGGCGCCCAAACCGAGUGGGCCCAAACCUCGGAAGGCUCUGCCUCGCAUGAGGGUUGCCCUCCCCGUCACAUCCACGUAAGUGAAUCUAACUUUCGGCUUUUUACGUUAUCCGAGUGAACUCCUGCUUUACAAGUCGAAUGGGCUUCACUCGACAGGGUCGCCACUUCUGCAACCUCUCCAGCCCGCCAAGGGGAUGACCCCAUGGACACGGACAACGUCGUCUCGUCCCAGCCAGGUAUGUUGUAGGAGAGUCGGGUGUUUUAUUCCUGUAGACUGUAACAUCCUUUUCUUUUUCUGAGUCGUCGUGCCAUUCGGCCUGUCAGGGACGAUUCACCUGGACGAGGACGAGCAAGAGAGAGCCGACCCCGCCGUGGAGCCUGUCCUGGAGCCAGUCCCUGAGGCUGCUCCUCCUGCUGCCACCCUUGUCGCCGACGCUCCGCCAACCGAAGCGCCUCCACCGACUGAACCGGUGUCGGCGGGGGAGGACCCGACUGGGGUGGAUCUUGGGAUGCCCCAAGGGCCUCCCACGAUUCCCGGUUCGUCGAAUGUUGAAUUCAGCAUCCGGCGUCUUCCAGAGGAGCAGGUGGGAGCGGCCAAGGGGGCCAUGGUGCAGGCGGAGCUCAUGGCUGGAGAAGCCAAGAGGGUUUACGACUCCGUUGUGGCGUUGUACCAGCGGAGCUUGGAGCUGCGCGACGACAUCCGAGUAAGUAGUCUAGUAAGUAUUUACUUUUCUCCUGUAACCCACUGGGUGGUAUUGUUUUUGCAAUGGGUUCACUCUGAGUGAACCCAGUGGGUGUAGUCCCCGAGACUUCUGUCGAGUGCUUGCACCGACAGUUGUCUUUAUACAUUUGGUCUUUAGUUUGGUUUAGUCCGUAGACAAGAUUUCCGAGUGCGAGUACUUACUACAGUCGGAGCACUCUUGCGGUAAGAGUCCCCGAGAGUAAAUUGCACGCAUGUCGAGUAGUAUUGGCCUCGGGGGCGUAGGUGAAAACAUGCACCUCAAUAGGGCAGACCUGUUUGAGGUGCAUGCCAGUGGGGUCACUCUUAGUGAACCCACUGGGUGUAGUCCCCGAGACCGCUGUCGACUGCUUGCAUCGGCAGGGGUCUGAAGAACUUAGCCUGUGAACUGAUAAACUUGCUGAUUACCCUUUGUUUCUUGGUGCAGAAAACUUGUGAAAUGGGAACUGCUUAUGAAGCCCUUAGAGCGGAAAAGAACCAGUAUGCUGGUGAACUGGAAGCUGCAACGCUCGCCAUGGCCGGCAUGAAAGACGCGCUGGAAGUUCGAGAGAAGUCUUUGGAGGAGGCCCUGGAAGCAAACAGGGUGUUGAUGGCAGAGGUGGAGAGACUGAAGAAACAGAGGACUGAGUGUCACAAUCAGAUGGGCGUCCUGAACAGACGAUGCAUAGCUCAAGAGAAGUAUGUCACCGACUGGGCUGCGCAAAUGAUGACUCGUCUGGCUGGUAAGUCUUAUGCUUUGUCGAGUGGUUGUACCGUGUGUCGUACACUCGGUUUUCAUUGUCUGCUUGCUCGUUUGAUGCGGACUUUUGCGGAGACCCUGAAGCUGAAGCGGCGGCUGUGGAGCGGUCUGUUAAGGACAAAGUUCCACUCGGUGAGGACGCCAAUCGGGAUCCGCUCCGAGCACAUAUCCGCGUAGGCAAAGUAGGUCCUUUCAUCGGUCGACUGAGAGAAGUCGUCGGCCGAAUUAACAAGGAACUUUGGCCAGAAGACGAGUCGCGGGAGGGGAUGGAGACCCUGACGGGCCGACUGGAGGAGGUUCCGAGCCGAGUGCAAUCUUGGAAGAAAUCGGCAGCGCGUUGCGGUGCUGAUGUUGCGCUGUCCUUGGUCCGAGUCCAUUGCAAGGAGGUGCGGGAAGAUAAGCUGAAAGCAUUGAAGGUCGCCAACACGAAGAAGCUGCGAUUCGAAGACUUCAUGGAGACGUUCCUGGAGACUGCUACCCGCAUUGCUGAUGGAAUCGACUUGGAUACUUUUGUGGAGCCCUCCAGUCCUGACGCCGGCCCAGCUGACGCAUGAUCAAACUUUAUCCUCGGUAUGCCGAGUGUUUGCCUGUAAGAUAUUCUGGCCACUUCUGUUGGCCGUCAUACUUUUAAAUCGGUGCGGGUAAGCUUGAUCCGCACCGAGUCAAUUAUUGUUUCUAGACUCUUGGAGUCGGAAUGAAAACAUUUUGUCUUUUGCUUGAGUUCUGUUUCGAGUGCAACACUUAGUGUGUACUCGGAGAAUAUUAAGACUUAGGUGAUUCGUGAUCACAACUAAUUUCCCGAGUGUGACGUAUNNNNNNNNNNNNNNNNNNNNNNNNNNNNNNNNNNNNNNNNNNNNNNNNNNNNNNNNNNNNNNNNNNNNNNNNNNNNNNNNNNNNNNNNNNNNNNNNNNNNNNNNNNNNNNNNNNNNNNNNNNNNNNNNNNNNNNNNNNNNNNNNNNNNNNNNNNNNNNNNNNNNNNNNNNNNNNNNNNNNNNNNNNNNNNNNNNNNNNNNNNNNNNNNNNNNNNNNNNNNNNNNNNNNNNNNNNNNNNNNNNNNNNNNNNNNNNNNNNNNNNNNNNNNNNNNNNNNNNNNNNNNNNNNGUAUAGUGCACACUCGAAGGAAGGUAUUACUUAGGUGAUUCCUAAUCACAGCUAAGUCCCCGAGUGCGACGUAUAAUGCACACUCGGAGGAAGGUAGUACUUAGGCGAUUAGGGAUCGCAGCUAAGUUUUUUUUUGUGUGACCGUAGUCUGCAACCGCGGAAGAACUCUGAAUCUGCAAAAGAAACUGAAUCUGUUGUAUAUUAUUUCGUCAAAACUUGUUCGUUACACUGCUCCAGUCGACGAUCACGUAUAAAAACGCUUGAGGAGGUCUCCGUUCCAUGCGCGCGGCUCGUCUGUCUCCCUCUGAAUGUUGUAGAGUCUGUAUGCCCCGUUGUUCAGCACCUUGGAAAUGAUGAAAGGCCCUUCCCAGGCCGGAGCCAACUUGUGUGGUCUUUGCUGAUCCACUCGGAGCACCAAAUCGCCAGCUUGGAAUGUGCGGCUCCUGACAUGACGUGCAUGAAAACGUCGCAGAUCUUGCUGGUAAAUUGUUGAGCGAGUAAGUGCCAUCUCGCGCUCUUCCUCUAGAAGAUCGACUCCAUCUUGCCUUGCUUGUUCUGCUUCGGCUUCGGAGAAGAGUUCGACUCGCGGGGCAUUGUGAAGCAGGUCACUCGGAAGGACCGCUUCUGCUCCAUAGACGAGGAAGAACGGUGAUCGCCCUGUUGAUCUGUUCGGAGUGGUGCGGAGGCCCCAAAGUACUGAAGGUAACUCGGUUACCCAUGCACCAGCAGCAUGUCCUACCUCUCGCAAGAGUCGAGGCUUCAAACCUUGAAGGAUAAGUCCAUUCGCACGCUCAGCUUGUCCAUUGGAUUGCGGAUGUGCUACGGAAGCAAAAUCCACUCGGAUACCCUGACUCGCACAGAAACCUUUGAAUCUGUCCGAGUCGAAGUUUGUCCCAUUGUCCGUGAUUAUGCUAUGAGGCACUCCGAAUCUGAAGAUGAUGUCCCUGACAAACUUAACGGCAGUGGAGGCGUCGAGUUUAUUGAUGGGCUUGGCUUCUAUCCAUUUUGUAAACUUGUCGACUGCCACCAACAGAUGUGUGUAGCCUCCUUGGCCUGUCUUGAAUGGUCCGACUGUGUCUAAUCCCCAAACUGCAAAGGGCCACACAAGUGGGAUUGUCUUUAGUGCAGAUGUUGGCUUGUGGGACUUGUUGGAGUAGAACUGACAGCCUUCGCAUCGAUCGACCAUAGCUUUGGCCAUCUCAUUAGCCUGCAACCAGAAGAAUACAACUCUGAACGCCUUGGCGACGAUUGCUCUCGAAGAAGCGUGAUGGCCGCAGGUUCCCGAGUGGAUAUCCUCUAGGAUCAAGUGUCCUUCCUCUGGGGAAAUGCAACAUUGGAGGACGCCUGAAACACUCUCCUUGUACAAUUGACCGUCAAUGACAGUGAAUGCCUUCGACCUGCGAACUAUUUUCCGGGCUUGGACUUCAUCUUCUGGAAGUUCUUGUCUCAGGAUAUAUGCCACAAUCGGCACAGUCCAAUCGGGAAUGAUUACCAGAAUCUCUGUGACCAGAUCAACCACAGCAGGCACAUCGACUUCAGUCGGAUCUGUUGCGCUCUUGGGUUGUACUGGUUCUUCCGUGAAGGGAUCUUCUUUAACUGAAGGAAGAUGGAGAUGCUCAAGGCAGACAUCACUCGGGACUGGUCUCCGAGUGGAUCCGAGUUUUGCCAACUCGUCCGCUGCUUGGUUCUUCAGUCUUGGAACAUGAUGAAGUUCUAGACCUUCAAACUUCUUCUCUAGCUUCCUGACUGCAUUGCAGUAUGUCGUCAUGGUGGGGUUCCUUACGUCCCACUCUUUCAUCACUUGGUUGACCACCAAGUCCGAAUCGCCGUAGACCAUCAGGCGACGGACGCCGAGUGAGAUGGCCAUGCGCAAUCUGUAGAGAAGAGCUUCAUACUCUGCCUCGUUGUUAGAGGAAUCAAAGUGUAUCUGAAGCACGUACUUGAGCUUGUCACCCUUUGGCGAUAUGAUCACAACACCAGCGCCGGAUCCAUUCAACAUCUUAGACCCAUCGAAGAACAUUGUCCAAUGGGCCGAGUAGAUGUGAGUCGGUUGCUGUUGUUCUACCCAUUCUGCUAUAAAGUCAGCCAUGGCUUGAGACUUAACAGCUUUCUUGGCCUCGAACUUGAUGUCGCAGUACAUCAUCUCCAUCGCCCACUUCGCCACUCGGCUUGAUGCGUCCCGAUUGUGGAGAAUUUCCGACAACGGAGCAUCAGAAAUGACAGAUACCGAGUGGUCUUGGAAAUAAUGGGCCACCUUCUUUGCAGUCAUAUAGAUCCCAUAGAUAAGCUUUUGAUAAUGGGGAUACCUCUGCUUGGAAGGUGUCAGGACUUCGGAGACGUAGUACACUGGCCGCUGAACUUUGUAUGCUUUGCCUUCUUCUUCUCGCUCGACUGUAAGAACAGUACUGACGACUUGAUUUGUAGCUGCGAUAUAUAGAAGAAGGGGCUCUUUACUGAGCGGAGCAGUAAGAACCGGCUGGGUGGAAAGUAGGACUUUGAGGUCGUCGAAUGCGACUUGGGCUUCGUCUGUCCACUCGAAGGUAUCUGACUUCUUCAUGAGUCGGUACAGAGGAAGUGCUUUUUCGCCGAGUCGACUGAUGAACCUGCUCAAAGCCGCUAGGAAACCUGUGAGCCGUUGAACAUCGUGUAUUCUGGCCGGCCUCUCCAUUCGGACGAUGGUCCCGAUCUUUUCGGGGUUAACAUCGAUCCCUCGUUCGGAAACGAAGAAACCGAGUAACUUUCCGUUGGGAACACCGAAUGAACAUUUGGCUGGGUUUAGCUUGAUAUCGUACCUACGAAGGUUGGCGAAUGUUUCUGCCAAGUGAGUCAGCAGGUCGGAACCUUCGCGUGACUUGACUACGAUAUCAUCCAUGUAUGCCUCCACAUUGCGACCGAUCUGGUCGAGGAGACAUUUUUGGAUCAUGCGCAUAAAGGUAGCUCCUGCAUUCUUCAGACCGAAAGGCAUGGUGAUGUAGCAGAAGCACCCAAACGGGGUGAUGAAAGCUGAUUUCAACUCAUCGGGACCAUACAGACGGAUCUGAUGAUAACCCGAGUAGGCAUCAAGAAAUGACAAACGCUCGCAUCCCGCAGUCGAAUCGACAAUUUGAUCUAUGCGGGGGAGCGGAAAAUGGUCUUUCAGACAGACCUUAUUGAGGUGCUUGAAGUCAAUGCACAUUCGGAGUGACUUGUCCUUCUUGGGCACCAUGACUACAUUGGAGAGCCACUCGGAGUGGUGAACCUCGCGAAUGAAUUUGGCAGCUAGCAGCUUAGCCACCUCUUCUCCGAUUGCCUUCCUCUUGUGCGCGGCGGACCGGCGCAGGCGCUCUCGGACAGGCCGAGCGGCGGGAUCCACAUGCAGUCGGUGCUCAGCCAACUCCCUAGGUACACCCGACAUGUCAGAUGGCUUCCAUGCGAAGAUGUCCCAGUUCUCACGGAGGAAUUGGGUGAGCUCGGCUUCCUAUUUAGGAUCUAGGGUGGUGGAGAUGUUCGUCGGGGCGGCAGACUCGUCCGUCGGGUGGAUGCUGACCUUCUUAGUCUCUCCCGCCGACUGGAAUGCGGACUCAGAAGCUGGCUUCUUUGAGCGCAUUAAGUCGGCAGGGUCGACUGUCUUCUUGUACUCUUCGAGCUCGAGUACAGCCAUCUGCUGGUCGGCGAUCCUUGAUCCCUCUUGCAGACACUCCUCGGCUCGCUGGCGGUUGCUGGUGAUGGUGCUAACGCCUUUUGGACCUGGCAUUUUCAACUUCAAGUACACAUAGCACGGGCGCGCCAUGAAACUCACGUAUGCCGGGCGGCCCAGAAUUGCAUGGUAAGCGCUCUGGAAAUCCACCACCUCAAACGUGAGCUUCUCCUUGCGAAAGUUCUUGUCAGAGCCGAAGAUGACUUCCAAUGCAAUCUGGCCGAGUGACUUGGCCUUUCGUCCAGGGACGACUCCGUGGAACUGCAUAUUGCUCUCGCUGAGUCUGGACAUCGGAAUGCCCAUCCCCUUGAGAGUGUCAGCGUACAUAAUAUUCAGUCCGCUACCGCCGUCCAUGAGGACUUUGCGCAGUCGGACUCCUUCCACCACCGGGUCGACGACCAGAGCCUGCCUUCCUGGGGUGGGGACAUGUGUUGGAUGAUCCGACUGGUCAAAGGUGAUCGCAGUCUGAGACCAUUUGAGAAACUUGGGGGCAGUCGGAACGGCCAUGUUGACUUCUCUGUUCACCAACUUCAGUCGACUCUUGCUUUCAACGUCAGCAAAAAUCAUGAGGGUUGCAUGGACUUGGGGGAACGGAUCCUCCUUGUCCUCCUCAUCUUGUUCGGGAUUCUUCUCACUCGGCUGCCCUUCGCUGAACCCCUGGAUCAAGAGACGACACUGACGAGUGGUGUGCUUCACGUAUAUGGGGUUGCCUUCCUCGUCCAUCUUCGUGUGAACUGGACAAGGCUGGUCCAGGAUGGGAUUGUUGAAAGGCUUCUUCUUGGGGGUGAACUGCGCUUUCCCUUUGCCCUUGAACUUGGCGCUGGUUACAGCUGCAGCUUCUGCUUGCGGUGUGUGCGGAACCUUUUGUUUCUGCUUCCGAGUGUUACCUCCAUCGGCAUCGCCGAUUGUCUUGUGUUUGCCGCUCCGGAUGCGGUCCUCUUCUUCACCAUUUGCGUAGCGAGCCGCUAUCUCCAUCAUCUUGCUCAUGGAGAUGUCGCCCGUUCGACCGAACUUCAAGUACAGUUCUCUGUACCGCACGCCUGCCUUGAAGGCGCAGACUGCUUGAUGCUCGGUGACGUUCUCCACCGUGUGGUAAAGAGUCGUCCAUCGCUGGAUGAAGUCGCGCAAGGGCUCAUUCGACUUCUGGACACAGUGUUGAAGCUCCACAAGACCUGCAGGGCGCUUGCACGUCCCUUCGAAGGUUCUGAUGAACACUCGGGCUAGAUCUGCCCAACUGUAAAUGCUUGAGGGGGCCAACUGGUUCAGCCAAGCCUGAGCCGAGCCGUCGAGCAUCAGAGGGAGGUGCUUCAUAGCGACAUGGUUGUCUCCUCCUCCGAUCUGGACUGCCACUCGGUAGUCGUCUAGCCAUGUUUCGGGCUUGGACUCCCCUGAGAAUUUACCGAUUCCCGCUGCCAAUCGGAAGUUGGGCGGGAUAUCAGCCGAGCGGAUGGCUCGACUAAAACACUCGGGGCCGGACACGAUGGUCCUGCUUCCACUCGGACGGUCCAUAUCGCGACCAUCGCGGUGGGCUCGACCCCUGUCGACUCUUCGCUGGGCGAUUCGCCCCCUUGCGUCGGGUCUUGGGUCGUAAGUGUCGCCGAUCGAACACCGAUCAUCAUGAUGUCGGGACCCAUAAGGCCCACCCCGUGGAGGGGUGCGUGAGCAGCGGCGAUACUGAUGAGAACCAGGGCUGUGAACCGAUCGAUGCGUGUUUGCAUGGACAGAACUGUUGUGGAUCCGAUUGUGUGACUGGGAGACUGCCGAAUUCUGCUGCUGCGCCGUGCGCAACAGAGCUCGGAUUUGCUCGAUUCCCCUUCCUGCCUCUGAAUCAGUCGGCUGGAGGGAAUCGGCAAUCUGGGCAGCCGCGGCCAAGUUGAGGAGAGGUGUGCGGAACAACUCCACGUUGCUCCGCCGAGUGUGUCGACUGGCAGAACGACUAGGCAGACGGCGCGCACCGAAUGCUUCGCCAAUUUCACCUCGAUCGGCUUGACGAGGAUCUUUGUGGGAGUUGGUCAUGUGUACUUCUGCUGCAUGCCCACGACCCGCGUACUCGGAAGGGAGCUCAGUCGGAACCGAGCCCGAGCACUGGGAACGCGGGGCGACCACAACAGACUCCAGAACUGCCACCUAAGAGGACGCGAUCUGACGCGCUUGGGCAUGUUGCACCCAACGUUGGAGACGUGGACUAUGGGACCGCUUACUGCGACGCGUGACGAAGGUGCAAGCCGGCAAUGGAGCCGAUUGUUGGAGAAGAAGAACGCCGCGAGUGCCGGCACAGAAGUGCGUGGCCCCGCGACGGGGAAGCGCCUCGACGUCGAGAGGUGCCUCCCGAAGCCACGCCGAAUCGUCGACGACGAAGGAGAGAGCACCGAAGAGGAUCCGGUGACCCAUGCUCGAAUCUCCACCGGACGACAUGACGAAACGAAGUAGUCGCAAACUCGCCGGAAGUCGCUUAGACGCCUGCCCCACGGUGGGCGCCAACUGUCGUGGGUAUAAGCCUGACAGUAGAUGUGUAGGGUACGAAUGAGAUGGGCAGAGUCCUAGCUACGGCGAGGUUGUAUGAGUUUAGGCCCCUCUACGGUGGAGGUAAUAGCCCUACGUCUCAGUGCUCUCGGAGCUUGUUACCGAGUGUAAUAUGGAGUACAAUGUUUUUCUAAUCCCUUUACCAGUGGGGGAGGGCGGCUUAUAUAGAGUGCGCUGCCCCCCACAACAGUUCUGACUCAGGGGUGGAGUAGUGGCGAUUGAAUGCGUACGUUACAGGUAACAUAUGCUCUAAAUGCUAAUAAAUGCACCCGGAAACGUACGGCAGUUUCCCUCCUGAGAGGUUACGACGUACCGAGUGUAUCCAGUCGGUGAGCCUGGUGUCCUCUGAAUGCUAGUUACCGACUGGAUGAUUCAAGGCCUGUUACCGACUGGAUGACGGGGAUACCUUAAUUCAGUCGGGACAGACUUAAGGUCCUGUCCUUUGUGUGGGGUAGUCCUUGGGUAGGACAUGUAGGGCAGGCCUAUGACCCUACCCUAGGACUAUGACCCCAUCACACACCCUAUGGAUUGAUCAUCUCUUUUACCUCAAAUCACACGGGUGAAUCAUGGACUCUAGUGAAUGUCUAUGGUCCAUGUCAAGGUGAAGCGAGAGAUCUUUUUGUUAGCUGGCUCUAUAAUCUGAAUAUUCCCACUAGAGCUAAUUGGUUGCUUCUUGGAGAUUUUAAUUUCAUUAGAUCCCCUGACAACAGAAACCUUCCCGGGGCUGAUGUAAAUGACAUGUUCAUCUUCAAUGAAAUUAUUGGGCAUCUGGGAUUGCUGGAACUACCCAUUAAAGGCAGAUCUUACACUUGGUCCAAUAUGCAAGAUUCCCCUCUUCUGGAGCAGCUUGACUGGUUUUUCACAUCAGCCAACUGGAUCUCCUCAUAUCCUCUUACCCAAGUGCUACCCCUUGCAAAGACUGCUUCUGAUCACGUUCCUUGUGUGGUCUCUGUCAACACUUCCAUCCCUAAAUGCAACCUAUUUCGCUUUGAAAACUACUGGGUUGAAAUGGAGGGCUUCAUGGAAUGUGUCCAGCAAUCCUGGCUCAUUUCUUCAAGGAAAACCCACAUUACUGCUGUUAUUAUGGAUAAGAUGAAGCAUCUUAGGCAGGCUUUGAAAAAAUGGCAGACAAAUCUAUCACAGUUAAAAACUUUUAUUUCCAGAUGUAAUCAAGUUGUGCUGUGUUUGGAUGAGCUUGAGGAGUUGAGGUCACUUUUCAGACCAGAAGCUAAUUUUAGGAAAAUUGUUAAAUUACAUUUGGAACAUCUUCUGCAUCUUCAGUGCUUGUACUGGAAGAAGAGAGUCACUAUCAGAUUUGUUAAGGUUGGUGAGGAAAACACUAAAUUCUUCCAUGCUAUGGCUAGUGAGAGAUAUAGGAGGAAUUCCAUUGCAACCCUCAAGUUAAAUGAUGGUUCUAUCAUAUCUGAUCAUGAUCAAAUUGCUGCAUGCUUUUGGGCAUCUUUUAAGGAUAGAAUGGGAACUUCUCUUGGCAUUAACAUGGCAUUUGAUUUACAAUCCAUGCUACAUGAGGUGGAGGGUCUAGAUAUUCUCACAGAACCUUUCUCUAAGUCUGAAAUGGAUAAGACUGUUCAGGAUAUGCCCAUUGACAAAGCUCCAGGUCCUGAUGGUUUCAGUGGUCUUUUCUUCAAGAAAUGCUGGCACAUUAUCUCCCCUGAGUUUUAUCAACUUGCUGCUGCUUUUCAUGCUAGUCAGGCUAAGCUUCAGAACAUGAACUCAUCUUAUAUUACUCUGAUUCCAAAGAAGAGAUCACCUGAACAUGUGGGAGAUUACAGACCAAUAUCACUUACUGGAAUGGGUCUCAAAUUUCUGUCCAAAAUGAUUGCUAACAGGCUACAGUUGCAGAUUGGGAAGUGCCUCCACAAGAAUCAGUAUGGUUUUAUCAAAUCUAGGACCAUUCAAGGUUGUGUGGGAUGGACUCUGAAAUACCUGCACCAAUGUCAUCAAUCCAAGAAACCUAUAGUUAUUCUUAAGCUGGAUUUUGAAAAGGCCUUUGAUUCUGUGGAACAUGAGUUCAUUUUCCAAAUUCUUAAGCACAAAGGCUUCAAUGACAGAUGGAUCCUUUGGGUUAAACAGCUCCUAACUUCUGGCUCAUCUUCAGUUUUGAUCAAUGGUGUGCCUGGAAAGAAGUUCAUGUGCAAGAAAGGUGUCAGGCAGGGAGAUCCCAUGUCUCCACUGCUUUUUGCUAUUGCUGCUGAUUUUUUACAAACUCUGGUUAAUCAACUGCUGGUGGAGGGGCUGAUACAGCUGCCCAUACCUUGUCAUGAUAAGGAUUUCCCCAUAGUGCAAUAUGCUGAUGAUACCCUUAUCAUCCUACCUGCUGAUAAAUCCCAGUUGUUGCAGUUCAAGAAAAUGCUCUUACUUUUCUCCCAGUCCAGUGGAUUACAGGUGAACUACCACAAAUCUGCCCUUCUACCUGUUAACACUUCUCCUCAGCAUCUACAGGAUCUGGCAGACUCCAUUGGUUGCAAGGUGGGAUCUUUGCCCUUCACAUAUCUUGGCCUUCCUGUUGGGACAACUAAACCAAGAAUCAUUGAUCUCAUGCCUCUGGUUGAUAACAUGGAAAGAAGACUCAGUGCUAGUUCAUCUUUUCUUGCUCAGGGGGGAAGGCUGCAAUAUUUAAACUCAUCCCUGUCUUCUGUGCCUAUCUACUUUCUAUGCAGUCUGGAUAUCCCACCAGGCAUACUGAAGCAGCUGGAGAGGAUUCAAAGGCAAUGUCUAUGGAGAAGAAAUGGGAAUGAUCAUGCACCCUCUCUUGCUGCUUGGCCUCUGGUGUGCAAGCCUAAAAAUAAAGGGGGGCUAGGGAUUAUGAACCUAGCAGUCCAGAAUGAAACACUACUGCUCAAACAUGUUGAUAAAUUCCUCAAUCAUGCUGAUAUCCCUUGGGUUCACUUGAUUUGGAACACUUACUAUCAUGACACAGUACCUCAGGGAACUGUCCUUUGUGGUUCUUUUUGGUGGAAGGAUAUCUGUAAACGACUUGACAAAUUCAGAUCAGUUACAUAUGUUCUGCCGAACAAGGGUGACUCCUUCCUGUUUUGGUCUGAUUCCUGGUUGAUUGGAAAUUCCAUUAUGCCACUGGCUGCCAGAUUCCAAAGACUGUUUUCUUUUGUGGCUGAUCCUUUCUGCACAGUUCAAGAGGUCUUUACAGCCUUUUAUGAUGACAGCAUGCUCUCCAUGUUUCACUUACCACUGUCUGCUCAAGCUUAUCAGGAACUGCUUUCGGUCCAAUCUUUGCUUCACGACCUGGUUCUUGAUCACCAGGCCUCUGACAGAUGGGUAUGGGGAAAGGAUGCUAAGGUUUACACAGCCAAGAGUUACUAUGCUCAUAUUCAUAGCAGUAUUAUACCAAACCCUUUACUCAACUGGAUCUGGAGAAGCUGUUGUACCAUGAGGAUUAAGAUGUUUGCCUGGAUGCUCAUCAUGGACAGGCUAAAUACUCAAGUUAUGCUUGAACGGCGUCACUGGAAUGUUUCUGACUCCAACCUUUGUGUUCUAUGUCACGCUCGAGUCAAGGAAGACAGAGAUCACUUAUUCUUCAACAGUCUUUUCAGUACCAGGGUUUGGAAUUACCUGCAGAUCACAUGGCAGGGUCCAUCCAUGUGGAGUGAUGCUGUUGCUGCUAAAAGGGACUUCCAUAACCCUUUCUUUGCUGAGGUGGUCUUCACUGCAUGUUGGAACAUCUGGACUAUCAGAAAUGCAAAGGUCUUCAACCAGGAGCAGCCAAAGUUCAGAAAAUGGAGAUCUGGAUUCAUUCAUGACAUUUCUCUGUUAGCUCAUAGAAUUAAGGCUAGUUUCAGGGAUGAUCUCCUUAAAUGGGUUUCCUUUUUGCCUCCUUGAGGUUUGUAAUCUUUGCUCCUCUUCCCCAUUGUACAUUCUAAUUUCCUCUUGUACAUAUUGCUCUCAUAUAUGGGAAUAAAGGAAAAANNNNNNNNNNNNNNNNNNNNNNNNNNNNNNNNNNNNNNNNNNNNNNNNNNNNNNNNNNNNNNNNNNNNNNNNNNNNNNNNNNNNNNNNNNNNNNNNNNNNNNNNNNNNNNNNNNNNNNNNNNNNNNNNNNNNNNNNNNNNNNNNNNNNNNNNNNNNNNNNNNNNNNNNNNNNNNNNNNNNNNNNNNNNNNNNGCCGGUCAAAAAAAAUAUUAUCAUGUGUUAAAAAACCUUGAAUUUGUUUUUUUGUUGCACAACCCUCAUUUCAACAUAUUUCGAUCUGAAAAUAUACACACUUGUGUAUUACUCCUUGAUGUAUACAUGUACAAAAAAUUCAGAUUUUUUUAAACUGAAAAAUAUGAAUUUUCAUGAAUUUUGGAUUUCACAUUUAGAGGCCACCAUGGAGGCCAAGCUCCAAAAGCAAUUUUCGACAUAUUGAUUGUUAUAUUCUUGGAUGUUGGGAAACUAUAUGACUAUCCAUAGUGUGAGUAACUUAGCUAAUAACAUAGAUGUCACGUGGGAAAAACCCCGAUGUGACAAGCAAUUAGCAAAGAGAGAGAGGUUUGCGGUAACAUGAUAUGUUACUCGAUCAUCACAUCCAUGUUAAAAUUCAAGGGUUGUUUGGUUUGUGACUAAUUUUGUCAAGCUAAAGUGUAGCAAGCCAAACUGUGGUAAAAACCAAACACAUUCCAACUAAACUCUGGUUGUCAAACUUUGACUUGGUAAAUUGUGGUUGUGAACCAAAUUGUCCCUUAGUGUGUAUGUAAUGUGUGGCCCUAGUGGGGCUUGGUACUAUCUGUUCGAAUUAUGCCCUAGAGNAUAGGAUGACCUCAUUCGAUUACCGUAAAGUUUUUGGACAUUACCCAGAAUGUACCCGGAGUGACGAAUGGGUUCCGGAUGUUCACCGGGGGGUCAGCCCACCCGGGGGAAGCCCAUAGGCCUUAGGGGUGCCGCACCAGCCCUUAGUGGGCUGGUGGGACAGCCCAAGAGGCCCUAUGCGCAGGAAUCAAAGAAAAAAAGGGGAAGUGGGAAAGUGGAGAAGGACUCCACCUUCCAAUCCUAGUUGGACUAGGAUUGGAAGGGGAGGACUCCCCCCUUGCUUCGGCCGACCCCUUGGGGCUCUCUUGAGCCUCAAGGCAGGUCCCUCCCCCUCCCUCCUAUAUAUAUUGAGGUAUUAGGGCUGAUUUGAGACAACUUUGCCACGGCAGCCCGACCACAUACCUCCACGGUUUUUCCUCUAGAUCGUAUUUCUGCGGAGCUCGGGCGGAGCCCUGCUGAGAUAGAUCACUACCAACCUCCGGAGCGCCAUCACGCUGCCGGAGAACUCAUCUACCUCUCCGUCUCNNNNNNNNNNNNNNNNNNNNNNNNNNNNNNNNNNNNNNNNNNNNNNNNNNNNNNNNNNNNNNNNNNNNNNNNNNNNNNNNNNNNNNNNNNNNNNNNNNNNNNNNNNNNNNNNNNNNNNNNNNNNNNNNNNNNNNNNNNNNNNNNNNNNNNNNNNNNNNNNNNNNNNNNNNNNNNNNNNNNNNNNNNNNNNNNNNNNNNNNNCUGUACGUGUGCUGAAGGCGGAGGUGCCGUCUGUUCGGCACUAGAUCGGAGCGGAUCGUGGGACAGAUCGCAGGACGGUUCGCGGGGCGGAUCGAGGGACGUGAGGACGUUCCACUACAUCAACCGCGUUUCUUAACACUUCCUGCUGUGCGAUCUACAAGGGUACGUAGAUCAGAAAUCCCCUCUCGUAGAUGGACAUCACCAUGAUAGGUCUUCGUGCGCGUAGGAAUUUUUUGUUUCCCANNNNNNNNNNNNNNNNNNNNNNNNNNNNNNNNNNNNNNNNNNNNNNNNNNNNNNNNNNNNNNNNNNNNNNNNNNNNNNNNNNNNNNNNNNNNNNNNNNNNNNNNNNNNNNNNNNNNNNNNNNNNNNNNNNNNNNNNNNNNNNNNNNNNNNNNNNNNNNNNNNNNNNCGUUCCCCAACAGUGGUAUCAGAGCUAGGUUCAUGCGUAGAUGUCAUCUCGAGUAGAACACAAAAGUUUUUGUGGGCGGUGAUGUGCAAUUUUCUGCCCUCCUUAGUCUUUUCUUGAUUUCGCGGUAUUGUUGGAUCGAAGCGGCCCGGACCGACAUUACUCGUACGCUUACGAGAGACUGGUUUCAUCGCUACGAGCAGCCCCGUUGCUCAAAGAUGACUGGCGAGUGUCGGUUUCUCCAACUUUAGUUUGAAUCGGAUUUGACCGAGGAGGUCCUUGGAGAGAGGUGAAAUAGCAAUUCAUACAUCCCUGUUGUGGUGUUUGCGUAAGUAAGAUGCGAUCCUACUUGAUACCCAUGGCAACCACGUAAAACAUGCAACAACAUCUGACUUGUUUUUGCACGGUAUGCUUGUGAUGUGAUAUGGCCGGCGAUGUGAUGUGAUAUAUUGGAUGUAUGAGAUGAUCAUGUUGUAAUAGUUAAUAUCGACUUGCACGUCGGUGGUACGGCAACCGGCAGGAGCCAUAGGGUUGUCUUUAAACUAAUGUUUGUGCUUGCAGAUGCGUUUACUAUAUUGCUAGGACGUAGCUAUUCUUGGUGUUGUUCCUCGUCAUCAUUCUCAGCUUGCAAAUUUGAAGGAGUGUUUCUCUCAGUCUUUUUCCAUUCUUGUGAAGAUUGUCAUCUCAGCUUCGUGUUAUCAUCUUGAAUUUGUUGUCAAUCAUGAGAAUCUGUUUCUUGCUAUCCGGUGCAUUUCUAAAUUGUUUCAUUCUCGUUCCUCCGAAGGCCAUCAUUUCAGAAGAUUCUUCGUUCUCAGCUUUCAUCCUCAAAUCUUCUCAAUUGUUGCCUCUUCGUUCGUCUCUUGAUUAUUCCGGUACCUUAUUCAAGUUUUCUGUUAGGUGGCUCAAGAUCUUUUCAUUCUCAUGUAUCUCCAGUCAUUCAUGGUUGCCUCAUUCAUUUCAAUUCUCACCGGUGCCUCUUUCAAGAUUUCUUCUAGUUUGUGCUUAUAUCUCUCCUUAAUCAUUUCAAGAAGAAUAAGUGGUAUGCUAGAUCCGUUGCUUGUCAUCAAUUUAAUUUGAUGAAGGAUAAGCAUAACAUAAUUCUUAUUCUUGUUCAUAGUAAUCUGAAUUCUUCUCCGGAGCGACUCAUUAUGUCAAUUCCUUUUUCUCAAGUGUUCUUAUCUUUUCUUUUCGGAGUUCCAAGUUCUAUCAAGUAUCUCUUUGUGAGGCUUCAUCUAAAUCCUGGCAAGGUCAUAAUCUUAUUAUUUUCUACCUUCAUAUUUGUUGCAUCAUUCUUUUAUAUACGGAGGUCCUUCAUGGUGGUUCAUCAAGGUUUCAAUCCAUUCUCAAGUGUUCUUCAACAUUCUUAUUGGAGAACCUCAAGUUUUCUUCUCUUGCAUCUCCAAGUGAAAUUGUUCUUCUUUAUCCUUUGAGGGGGUAUUAUAGCAUUCUUGUUAGUGUAGGAGCCUCGAAGAGUUUUCCUUUCAAGAAUGACAUAAUUAAAUCCACCAAUUCUAUGAUCAUGAGAUAUUUUCAACUCAUGGUUUCUUCCUUGAGUUAUCUUGGUUUGGAGUUCACCUAAAGCUUUUCCUAUGGAUUGUUGCUAUUAUGGUGCUUGUCUUUAAUCCAAGUUCUCAAUGUUUCCUCUUGGUGUAACUAAUUGUUCAUAUCUUGUUUCUCCCAAUCAAUCCUUGUUUCUUUUAGUGGCUGGUUGUCACUUCAUUAGUUUGAAAGGUUUCCAUAAGCCCACUACUAUCUUGUUCUUUUCGUUGUUGGUUUUCCAAUUGCUACGUCAAUUCUCUAUCCGGAGGCCCUUCAAUUCUAUUGUGAUGAUAGUUGGCAUUCUUUCUUCAUUCUUUUCUUCCGUAUGAGCUAGUUCCUAUUCUAUUGUUCCGAAGGCAUUGUGAUGUUGCUCUUUUGGGUCUAUUAUGUUGUUCUAUCAAAUUCAUGGUGUUCCCUUGCUCUAUUUACUUGUUUGUUGUGAAUAUUGUCUAUUUCUUUCACCUUUUCGAAAUUUUUGUCCCUUUUUCCUACCAAAGUGUUGCCGAAAUUUUCCGUGAAUUCUUGCUUCUUUCCCAUAUCAGUCCUCAUCUCUUUGCAACCUUCAAGGAUCGUGGUUUCACUCGUUUGUCAAAGAAGCGACUAAGUUUUUACCUCUUGUUCUUUCUCAUCCUCUCCCCUUUUCAUUCUUGGAUCUCGGCGCGAGAUCCUCUUGUAGUGUAGGAGAGUUGUGACAGCCCGAUGCCGACGUUCCAGAAGAUUCCCCUUUUCUUUCCGUUUUCGUCGUGUGUGUAUUUUCUUUUGUCGCAUCAUCAUCGCAUCAUGCACAUCAUCAGCAUUGCAUUGGCAUCUCCGUUGCCGCCAGUUUUCAAAACUUGCAUCCGUUGUUAGUUGCCGGUCCUCGACGUUGUCCGUUCUGAGUCCGACCGCACUCGCACGCGCCGCGGCACCGUCGAAACUCUGUUUUAAAAGUGUGCGUUAAACUUUGUCUGAUCGGGUUGAGAUUUGAUGUGCGGUCUUAUUUUAAUAUAGCUAGGCCGCUUGUCGAAUUUCGUCGUGAUCGGAGAUCGUCUGGUACCCGAACGGACGACCGUAGCGGCACCGUAUUCGGUCUACCGUCGGACGUCUGUCGGUGAUUUAAAAUUCAUUGCCGCGCCGCCCGUUCUCCCUCUCGUCUCCGGUAAACCACCCUACACGGCCACUUACCCGUUCCCGCGUUCGGAAUCGUCUGAAUCCGACCGCACGGUUGGAUCCGGAACGCGAUUCCGGGUAACCUAGCCCCCCGUUUGUCUAUAUAUAGACCCCAUGGCAUUAAUUAGACAGCUACUCCCUCUUCACCUCGUUUUCCGUGCCCCUCCUAACCCUAACCGCGCAGCCACCCACCUCCAGCCUCCUCCUCGCACCGCCGGGCCCGCGAGCCCACGCGAGGCCCGUCGAGCCCAUCCGACCGCCGCCCCCAUUCUCCUUCGUGCCCGAGCUCGUGCCCGAGCCGCCGCCGCCCCGAUCUGCCCCCGAGCUCCCCCAGCGAGGCCGCGCCCCGGGCCUCCCGCUCCUGGCCGCGCUGCCCAGGACCUCGCCCCUUGCCGCACCGUCCCGUGCCUCGAGUCGUCGGCCCCGUCCCCUGCUUGCUCCUCCAUGUCCGCCACCGGCUCUGUCCAAGCCGCCGUGCCUUGCCCUGCCUUGUCUCCGCCGCCUCACGCCCCACCGCGGUCGGGAAUGGGUCCGAACCGGCCGGAUUCGGUGGAUCCGCCGAUUCCCCCCUUGCCCGGCGCUCUCCCUCAUCGCCCCUUCACUGGAGUUGCGCCCGCAGCCAUGGCGGCCUCCCUGGUGCACCUGCACGAGAGGAGGGGGACGCGUCCGUGCCGCCAGUUGGCCCAGCUGCAGCUGCGUGGCCUGGCCUAGGUGGAGCUCGAGCCAGGCCCAGCCGGCUAGCCCCUCCGUGCCUCAGGCCCAGCUAGGCUCGGCCUGCCUAGCGCCCAGCAGCCAGGCUGCCUCGCCCCCUCGGCCCACUUCCUCCUCGACGGCCCAAGGUGAGCCGAGUUCUGUCACUCGCCCGUGUGCAUUUUUCUUAUGUAACACCCUUGCCUCUGUAGCCCAUUAGGAAAGGAUUUCGGCCCGGUAGUAAUUUUUCUUUUUAGGUUAUUUUCGGAAUUUAAUAAAAUUCCAGAAAUAGACAUAUAUUAGAGUCCCCGUAUCUUUUAAUCCGUUAAUCGGAUCGCGACGUAUUAGACAUGUUUUUUCUUGUAGUUUUUCGCGUAGUAUCCGUUUUUGCAACUUGCAUAAAUGUUUGAGGUGGUUUGACCCACUGUUUGCCUAGUUAUGCGUGUUGUCCUAAUAGGUUCCGACCCGUAUUUAUUUUUCGCGCUAGACCGGGUUGCUCGAAUGCCUUAGAUAAAAUGCCCAUGUUUUAGGAACCUAUUUCCCAUGUAUUUUAGAGCGGUCGUUGGUAUUUUUGCGCGUAGGGAUUUGCCGGUAGUUUAUUUUUCCGUGUAUAGGUUAUUUUUCUCGCAUUUUUGUGCGGCUUUAUUUUGUGUUGCAAACCCCACAUAUUUUAUAUGUUUCCGGGUAGAAAAAUCCCAUGGAUUUUUCUGUGCAAUUAGUUUUAGCAUUAGAGCAAGUUAGUUCGCGAGAUAUUUUGCUAAGUUGCCCUUUUGUUUAAUUCGUAGGAUUUAUUCCGUGCCUCGUUGGAUUUAGUUGUCAACUAGAGAGUUGAUCUUGGAUGUUUUGUUUAGCCCCUGGUAUUUUUGGUUGCAAUAGAAAUGCAUGUUUAGGUGUGUUUUGAUUGCCCUCAAGUUGCUAGAAAUAGUGCUGUUUUGGACGUGCUGAAAUAUUUCUAAGUCUGGAAUCUGUUUUAUUUUGUUGUUGUCUUGUCUUGCUUGCAUCUUGUGAUCUGUUGCUCUUUUGAGGUUGGUCCAAUGGAGUUAGUUGUAUCCCUUUUAUUUCUCUAGCAUGCUGUAAAUUUUCAUGUCAUUUGGAGUCCUUUAGAUAUAGAUUUUGCUGCUGUCAAUUUUGCUUCAGAUCGAAAAAUGCACUUUCAUGAGGUGUUAUUUUCACUAAGUCUGAAAUAGAGUGUGAGAUGCCAUUUUCUGUCUUCUUUUCCUAGUGCUCCUUGCUGCCAUGCUAGUUGUUGUUAGUUGUUUGUAGUAGUGCGUCUUGCCCUCUUUCGUGUCAUGCCUUGCUUGAGUUUAUCGGAGUUGUGUAGCUCGUAGUUGUGGGGCGUAGAAAGUGGUAUGUGGCUGAUUUUGGCAGAUUGUAGUCGGUUCUUGUUUUGCUCGUAUCUUUUGAACCGUAGCUCCGAUUUGAUCGCGUCCUACAUGAAACUUGCUUAGAAUCUCAUGUAGUUUCAUUUUCCCUUGCUGGUUGGAUGUUUUGAAGUGCUCGUAGCCGCCGUUGCACACAUAUCGCAUUCAUGUCAUCAUAACUUGCGACGCUUGUAACUUUUGAUCCGUAGCUCCGUUGGAGAUGUUCUUUAUGUGUAGAUUGCUUGCCUUGACGCGUAGAAUCACGUGAACCUAUUUGUUUUGCUGUUUAACAACCAAUUAAAUGUGUUAGUUCAGAUCUGGACAGAAUUGUAAAUUAACAUGUGAGGUCGUCUCGGAGAUGCUAUAUGUCAUUUCCGACCUCAUUUAAAAUGUCUAGAUAGGUAGGUUAAUUUCCGCUUCACCUCUUGCAAGUUUGACAACAUUAAUAUUGUCGUGUAAAUAACCGGGAGUGAACUAAAUAAUUCAUAUGUGGAGUUUCGUCAAUAUGCAACUCGUUGCAUAUUGAACUUCACUUAAUGUGUAGUGUUUGUUUGUGUGAUUUGUCAUGCCGUGACUUGCAUGUAUUCAGCUGCUCAUGCAUCAUUUGUGUUGUGCAUCGUGUGGUGAAUUCCGUGUGUUGAUUUUUGUUUCCGUUUUGCUUCUUCUCGAUAGAGUUCCGCAGCGUGCCGGAUUGUGAGGACCCGUUCGACUACGUCGGUUCGUCUGCUUCACGGAGGCAUUCUUCUUCCAAGCGGGAUCUCAGGCAAGAUGAUCAUUUCCCCAUAUACCAUUACUAUCAUUUCCAUGCUAGUUAUUUUGAUGCUGUCGUUUAUGUCUCGUUGCCUACCACAUGUUGAAUAUCAGCCUCUCAACAAUGCCAUGAUAAUCUUCAACCUGAUCAACCUAGCAAACCACUGAUUGGCUAUGUUACUGCUUGCUUAACCCUGUUGUUAGCGUUGCUAGUUGCAGGUGUAGUUGCUUCCAUGCGAAAGCAUGGGUUCCUUGUUAUAUCACCAUAUUAAAUGCUAUUUAAUUUAAUGCACCUAUAUACUUGGUAAAAGGUGGAAGACUCGGCCUUUCUAGCCUGGUGUUUUGUUCCACCUUUGCCCCCUUAGUUUCCGGCUACCGGUGUUAUGUUCCAUAAUUGAGCGCUCCUAACACGAUCGGGGUUGUUAUGGGGACCCCCUUGAUAAUUCGUUUUAGAUUAAAGCUGGUCUGGCAAGGCCCAACAUUGGUACUACAUUUGCCUAAUCACCUAAUAAAAUUGCAUAAGGAUUUUCCGGACCCCGAGGAUAAUUUAAUCAACCCCCGGGCCAGUGCUCCUCAUGAGUGUUGGUCCAAAACAGAGCAGCUUAUUAACGCUACCCGGGGCAACUCGGCGUUUGGCAUGGUAACCAUCGCUCAUCCGUCGUGUCCUGAGAACGAGGUACGCGACUCCUAUUGGGAUCGUCGACACGUCGGGCGGCCUUGCUGGAUUAGUUUUACCUUUGACGAGAUAUCUUGUGCAUCGGGGAUUCCGGUGAUGCUUUGGGUAAUCUCAGAGUUGAAGUUUUCCACUAGGGAAUCCGACGAGAUCGCGAGCUUCGUGAUUGAGGAUUUCUAUGCGGCUUGUGGUAAUUUGUGAUGGACUAGUUGGAGCACCCCUGCAGGGUUAAAUCUUUUUGGAAAGCCGUCCCCGCGGUUAUGUGGCAACGUGGAAACUUUGUUUAACACUGGAUCUAGAUAACUUGAAGUUAACUUAAUUAAAACAUGCCAACUGUGUGCGUAACCGUGACUAUCUCUUCCGUGAGUUCCUUCUCCGAUUGAGGACACGGUGGGGUUAUGUCUGACGUAGGUAGGUGUUCAGGAUCAUUCAUUUGGUCAUCAGUAGUUCACGUCCAUUAUGCGUAGAUCUUCCCCCUCUUAUUUCUUGUACUCUUAAGUUUAGCCACCGAAUAUAUGCUUAGCCGCUGCUGCAACCUCACCACUUAACCUUACCUCACCCAUUAAGCUUUGCUAGUCUUGAUACCUCUGGAAAUGAGAUUGCUGAGUCCCCUGUGGCUCACAGAUUACUACACCACCAGUUGCAGGUACAUGUAAAGGUUACUUGACGCGAGCGCGUUGAUUGUUCAUUUGAAUUGCUUCUUCUUCUUCUUCUUCAUCGAUCUAGGAUGGGUUCCACGCCGGCAACCUGGGAUAGCAAGGAUGGACGUCGUUCUUUCUUUUCUCGUUUGUUUUCGUCCGUAGUCGGACCCUGCUCUUACUCUUGAUGUUUAUGUAAUGUACUGUUGUGACUCUGAUGUAGCUUGUGGCGAGUGUAAGCCAACUCUCUAUGUAUAUCUCUUCUUUUCAGUACAUGUACUUGAAACGAUAUCCAUUCUUGCAACGCGACGAGAUGCGCUUCUAUCCCUGACGAGGCCUUUGUGCCAAAUUGAGGAUAGGGUUGCAUCUUGGGCGUGACAGUGGCGCCGGUGACAAGAAGAUCGUGUCGGUGCUUUGGUGAUGGAGAUCAAGAAGCACAUGAUGAUGGCCAUAUCAUGUCACUUAUGAAUUGCAUGUGAUGUUAAUCUUUUUAUGCACCUUAUUUUGCUUAGAACGACGGUAGCAUUAUGAGGUGAUCUCUCACUAAAAUUUCAAGACAAAAUUGUGUUCUCCCCGACUGUGCACCGUUGCUACAGUUUGUCGUUUCGAGACACCACAUGAUGAUCGGGUGUGAUAGACUCAACGUUCACAUACAACGGGUGCAAAACAGUUGCACACGCGGAACACUCGGGUUAAGCUUGACGAGCCUAGCAUGUGCAGACAUGGCCUGGGAACUCAUGAGACCGAAAGGUCGAUCAUGAAUCAUAUAGUUGAUAUGCUUAGCAUAGGGAUGCUUACUAGUGAAACUAUCCUCAACUCACGUGAUGAUCAGACUUGAGCUAGUGGAAUUGGAUCAUGAACCACUCAAACGACUAGAGAGAUGUACUUUUUGAGUGGGAGUUUAGCAAGUAAUUUGAUUAGUUAAACUCUAAUUAUAUUGAACAUAGUCUAAGUCCACUUUGAAAAUAUUUGUGUUGUAGAUCAAGGGCUCACGCGACAGUCACCCUGAAUUUUAAUACGUUCCUAGAGAAAGCUAAGUUGAAAGAUGAUGGAAGCAACUUUGUAGACUGGGCUCGUAAUCUUAAGUUGCUCCUGCAAGCUGGGAAGAAGGAUUAUGUCCUUAAUGCUGUGCUAGGAGAUGAACCACCCGCCGCGGCUGACCAAGAUGCUAAGAACGCUUGGUUAGCACGCAAGGAGGACUACUCAGUAGUUCAAUGUGCAGUCUUGUAUGGCUUAGAACCGGGACUUCAAUGUCGCUUUGAGCAUCAUGGAGCAUAUGAGAUGUUCCAGGAGUUGAAGUUUAUCUUUCAGAAGAACGCCCGGAUCGAGAGGUAUGAGACCUCCGAUAAAUUAUAUGCUUGCAAGAUGGAGGAGAAUUCGUCUAUCAGUGAACAUGUGCUCAAAAUGUCUGGGUACUCAAACCGUCUAGCGGAGCUGGGGAUUGAACUCCCGCAAGAAUCUAUCACUGACAGAAUCCUUCAAUCACUGCCACCAAGCUAUAAAGGCUUUGUGUUGAACUACAACAUGCAAGGGAUGAACAAGUCACCCGGCGAGUUGUUUGCGAUUCUGAAAGUCGCAGAGUCAGAACUCCGUAAAGAGCAUCAAGUGUUGAUGGUGAAUAAGACCACUAGUUUCAAGAGAAACGGCAAAGGAAAGAAGGGUAAUUCAAAGAAGAGCGGCAAGUAUGUUGCCGAUCUGAUGAAGAAACCCAAAGCUGGACCUAAGCCUGAAACGGAGUGCUAUUAUUGCAAGGGUAUGGGUCACUGGAAGCGCAACUGCCCCAAGUAUCUGGCUGAUAAGAAGGCGGCCAAAGAAAAAUCAGGUAUAUUUGAUAUACAUGUUAUCGAUGUGUACUUAACCGGCUCUCGUAGUAGUGCCUGGGUAUUCGAUACCGGUUCUGUUGCUCAUAUUUGCAACUCGAAACAGGAACUGCGGAAUAGACGAAGGCUGGCGAAAGAUGAAGUGACGAUGCGCGUAGGAAAUGGUUCCAAGGUUGAUGCAAUCGCCGUCGGCACAGUUUCACUUCAGUUACCAUCAGGAUUAGUUAUAAACUUAAAUAAAUGUUAUUUAGUGCCUGCGUUAAGCAUGAACAUUAUAUCUGGAUCUUGUUUAUUGCGAGACGGUUACUCGUUUAAGUCAGAGAAUAAUGGUUGUUCUAUUUCUAUGAGUAAUAUCUUUUAUGGUCAUGCACCCAAUGUGAGAGGAUUGUUCAUAUUGAAUCUUGAUAGUGAUAAUACACAUGGAGUCACUUGACUUUCAUUCACUUGACACGUGNNNNNNNNNNNNNNNNNNNNNNNNNNNNNNNNNNNNNNNNNNNNNNNNNNNNNNNNNNNNNNNNNNNNNNNNNNNNNNNNNNNNNNNNNNNNNNNNNNNNNNNNNNNNNNNNNNNNNNNNNNNNNNNNNNNNNNNNNNNNNNNNNNNNNNNNNNNNNNNNNNNNNNNNNNNNNNNNNNNNNNNNNNNNNNNNNNNNNNNNNNNNNNNNNNNNNNNNNNNNNNNNNNNNNNNNNNNNNNNNNNNNNNNNNNNNNNNNNNNNNNNNNNNNNNNNNNNNNNCGGAUAUCGUUAUUUUCUCACCUUCACUGACGAUUUGAGUAGAUAUGGUUAUGUCUACUUGAUGAAGCACAUGUCUGAAACAUUUGAAAAGUUCAAACAAUUUCAGAGUGAAGUCGAAAAUCAUCGUAACAAGAAGAUCAAGUUCCUACGGUCUGAUCGUGGGGGUGAAUAUCUGAGUUUCGAGUUUGGUGCUCACUUAAGACAAUGUGGAAUUGUUUCACAGUUGACACCGCCUGGAACACCACAGUGUAAUGGUGUGUCCGAACGUCGUAAUCGUACUUUAUUAGAGAUGGUGCGACCUAUGAUGUCUCUUACCGAUUUGUCGUUAUCGUUUUGGGGUUAUGCAUUAGAAACAUCUGCAUUCACUUUAAAUAGGGCACCAUCAAAAUCCGUUGAGACGACACCAUACGAACUGUGGUAUGGCAAAAGACCAAAGUUGUCGUUUCUUCAAGUUUGGGGAUGUGAUGCUUAUGUCAAAAAGCUGGAACCCAAAGCGGAAAAGUGUGUCUUCAUAGGUUACCUAAAAGAGACAGUUGGGUAUACCUUCUAUCUCAAAUCCGAGGGCAAAGUGUUCGUUGCUAAGAACGGAGCUUUUCUCGAGAAGGAGUUUCUCUCGAGAGAAUUGAGUGGGAGGAAGAUAGAACUUGAUGAGGUUGUCGAACCUCUCAUCCCUCUGGAUGGUGGCGCAAGGCAAGGGGAAACCCCUGUCAUUGUGACGCCGGUUGAGGAGGAAGUUAAUGAUGAUGAUCAUGAAACUCCGGAUCAAGUUCCUGUCGAACCUCGCAGGUCGAUGAGACCGCGUACUACUCCAGAGUGGUACGGUAAUCCCGUCUUAUCAAUUAUGUUGUUGGACAACAAUGAGCCUGCGAAUUAUGAAGAAGCAAUGGUGGGCCCGGAUUCCAACAAAUGGCUGGAGGCCAUGAAGUCCGAGAUAGGAUCUAUGUAUGAAACAAAGUGUGGACUUUGGAAGUACUACCUGAAGGCCGCAAGGCUAUUCAGAACAAAUGGAUCUUUAAGAAGAAGACGGACGCUGACGGUAAUGUGACCGUUUAUAAAGCUCGACUUGUGGCAAAGGGUUUUCCACAAGUUCAAGGAAUUGACUACGAUGAGACAUUAUCACCGGUAGCAAUGCUUAAGUCCGUCCGAAUCAUGUUAGCAAUAGCUGCAUUUUUCGAUUAUGAAAUCUAGCAGAUGGAUGUCAAAAUGGCGUUCCUUAACGGUUUCCUUAAGGAAGAGUUGUAUAUGAUGCAACCCGAAGGUUUUGUCGAUCCUAAGAAUGCUAACAAGGUGUGCAAGCUCCAGCGAUCCAUUUAUGGACUGGUGCAAGCAUCUCGGAGUUGGAAUAAACGUUUUGAUGAGGUGAUCAAAUCAUUUGGGUUUAUACAAGUGGUUGGAGAAUCUUGUAUUUACAAGAAAGUGAGUGGGAGCUCUGUGGCGUUUCUAAUAUUAUAUGUGGAUGACAUAUUACUGAUUGGAAACAACAUAGAGUUUUUGGAGAGCAUAAAGGAUUACUUGAAUAAAAGUUUCUCUAUGAAGGACCUAGGAGAAGCUGCUUACAUUCUAGGCAUUAAGAUCUAUAGGGAUAGAUCGAAACGCCUGAUAGGACUUUCAAAAAGCACAUACCUUGAUAAAGUUUUGAAGAAGUUCAAAAUGGAUCAGUCCAAGAAAGGGUUCUUGCCAGUAUUACAAGGUAUAAAAUUGAGUAAGACUCAGUGCCCAGCAACUGAGGAAGAUAGAAAGACAAUGAGUUCCAUCCCCUAUGCUUCAGCAAUAGGUUCUAUCAUGUAUGCAAUGUUGUGCACUAGAUCGGACGUUAGCCUGGCCAUAAGUAUGGCAGGCAGGUUCCAGAGUAAUCCAGGAGUGGAUCACUGGACGGCGGUCAAGAAUAUCCUAAAGUACCUGAAAAGGACUAAGGAGAUGUUUCUCGUAUAUGGAGGUGACGAAGAGCUCGCCGUAAAAGGUUACGUCGAUGCAAGCUUUGACACAAAUCUGGACGACUCUAAGUCACAGACUAGAUACAUAUUUAUUCUUAAUGGGGGUGCGGUAAGCUGGUGCAGUUCCAAGCAAAGCGUCGUAGCUGAUUCUACAUGUGAAGCGGAGUACAUGGCUGCCUCAGAGGCAGCUAAGGAGGGUGUCUGGAUGAAGUAGUUCAUGACGGAUCUUGGAGUGGUGCGUGAUACGUCUCCGUCGUAUCUACUUUUCUGAACUCUUUUGCCCUUGUUUUGGACUCUAAUUUGCAUGAUUUGAAUGGAACUAACCUGGACUGACGCUGUUUUCAGCAGAAUUGUCAUGGUGUUGUUUUUGUGCAAAAAUGAAAGUUCUCGGAACAUCCUGAAAAUUUACCGGGAAUGUACCGGGAGUGACGAAUGGGUUCCGGAUGUUCACCGGGGGGUCAGCCCACCCGGGGGAAGCCCAUAGGCCUUAGGGGUGCCGCACCAGCCCUUAGUGGGCUGGUGGGACAGCCCAAGAGGCCCUAUGCGCAGGAAUCAAAGAAAAAAAGGGGAAGUGGGAAAGUGGAGAAGGACUCCACCUUCCAAUCCUAGUUGGACUAGGAUUGGAAGGGGAGGACUCCCCCCUUGCUUCGGCCGACCCCUUGGGGCUCUCUUGAGCCUCAAGGCAGGUCCCUCCCCCUCCCUCCUAUAUAUACUGAGGUAUUAGGGCUGAUUUGAGAUAACUUUGCCACGGCAGCCCGACCACAUACCUCCACGGUUUUUCCUCUAGAUCGUAUUUCCGCGGAGCUCGGGCGGAGCCCUGCUGAGAUAGAUCACCACCAACCUGCGGAGCACCGUCACGCUGCCGGAGAACUCAUCUACCUCUCCGUCUCUCUUGCUGGGUCAAGAAGGCCGAGAUCAUCGUCGAACUUUACGUGUGCUGAACGCGGAGGUGCCGUCCAUUCGGCACUAGAUCGGAGCGGAUCGUGGGACGGAUCGUGGGACGGUUCACGGUGCGGAUCGAGGGACGUGAGGACGUUCCACUACAUCAACCGCGUUUCUUAACGCUUCCUGUUGUGCGAUCUACAAGUGUACAUAGAUCGGAAAUCCCCUCUCGUAGAUGGACAUCACCAUGAUAGGUCUUCGUGCGCGUAGGAAAUUUUUUGUUUCCCAUGCGACGUUCCCCAACACUAUCUUAUUUCGCAACUGAGACUUUCUAAGAAGUUUCCAACUAUAGUUUUACAAGUAAUAUGUAAUAGCUUCAUUAACAUUUUUUUGUAGUAACUUAGUUUUUUUUGGUAGCUUAGUUCUUUUUUGUAGUAACUUAAUUACGAAAAUAAUUUGCUACCCAUGGUGGUAGCUACACACGGAACAAAUUUGUAUCUCCAAUUAUUUUGGUAAAUUAUUUUGUACUAUGAAAACUAAUUUGAUAAUGAAAAUAUCAUGAUUUCGGAUCAGUCGAGCAAGCAAACAAGCAAUUAUGCCAAAAAGGCAAGCAAAAAGACCGAAAGAAGUGAGAAACAUCAUUUCUACACAACCAAAAGUCACUUGUGUCAAAAACGUAAAUAAAAAGACAAAAUUAAGCGGGAAAAGGUCAUUUCUAUACAACAAACAUGUACUUUUGCCAAUGCGAUGGAAACCCAACACCGCACAUAUUUAAAAAGGCACUUAUGCCAGAGGGUGUAUAGCCUCUCAACUUAAUUAAACCAAAUUGCUUGUUUUUAAUUUGAUGCUACAACAUGGCCGACUCUAGCAUCUGGAUAGACUCCUCUGACCACUGGUUGGAGUAUGCCGAAGAUAAAGGCGACGUAAGCACCAACCAGGUAAUUACAUUACAGUUAUAAAAACAUGUGUGGCAUUGCAAACAACCAUAUAUCUAACCAUUAAUUAAUUGUUGAUGAUUUGAAACCCUUGUCAGACAUAUGUACCAGCUGGUCUGCCUUCUCCGGCAUCCGUUGUGCGGCAGACACGUGACGUGGACGUGCUCAAUCACGAGCUGAUCAUGUCACGUCAGUCUAGUAUCAAGGCCCUGUAGGAGUUAAAUGACUCCCUAAAGAAGGAGAAGGACACGAUUAUUGAUGACAAUGCAAUUGUCUACCACAAGAUUUUAAAUUUCAAACGUUAGGUUGAUUCGCUGAACCUUGAGAUAAGCAAGCUCAAAAAAGAAAUAGAAGUCCUGAAGAAGGAGAAGACUCAACUCAAGACGGAGAAAACCCAUUACCUCAUCGAGGGGCAGAUGCACAGUGCACAGGAAUAAGCUCUGUGAGCUUAAGUUAUUCCUUAGAGGUAACUAGGUAGUGUCGAGAGGGGCAGGUAGAUACGUGUGGAGUUGCUACUUCUCUUUUGUGAAUUUGGUAUACUAUGUUUAUUUUAUGAAGCUGGUACUAUCUUUUGUGAAUUGCUGAUAGGUUUAGUUUGUGAAGCUGGUAGGAUCCUUUGUGAAUUGCUGACAUGUUUAGUUUGUGAAGCAGGCGUAUUUUUUUGUUAUCUAAAUAUGACAUUUCUGUCGUGCAACCCUGUACAACGCCAUAUGUGAUGAGGACAUCAACACCAUUGUUACACCCACAACCCCAGUUGGUAUACAUAAUGGACCAGUUACUAGAGCUCGUGCACGCCAAUUGAAUUACCAGGUACUUUCGUUUCUUGGGAAUACUUCUAAUGUUCAUGAACAUAUGAUGCUGCCUAAGUUAGAUACUUUUGUUAUGCUCAUGAAUGAAGGACCUAGCAUGGACAAGAUGGAUAUCCGUUGGAGCGGGAUCAAGCAUGGAGAAGAAGGUGCACGCGCGCGAGAGAACAAUGGAGCUUCCACUGGUGAUUUUCGCACUCUAAAGCCUCCAUAAGGAGAGCAUGAAGGCUUUGGACGAAAUAUUCAAGACGCCACUUUAUAAAUUUCGUCCAUAGGCUAUUUUAGGUGUUGCGCGACCUUAUUUUUGGGCCAGGCCCAUGUAAUUUCAAAAUACCAUAAUAUAGGCUAUUUUUAGAGUCUGUAUGUGUGGGGAAACCGAGUUUAGGGCUGUUUUCGGACCCCUCCUCUAAGGGUCACGCAAUUGCCUCUCUAUUCCCUCAUAUAUACAGCCCUUAGGGCACCGUUUAGACUUGGAUUUUGUUUAGAUUACAAGUUCGCCAUGGCUGCAACUUCGCGUUCUUCGUUUGUGUUCUACGACUAGACAAAGGCGUUACAGAACCCCACCUUCAUCAAUAAAGCUUUCCUCUUAUAUUCGCAAUAUCUUGAUUGCAUCUCGGUUUCUUGCUUGUUCUUCGUUUGCGUGCAGGAAACAGACCUUCGUGGUCAGGUUGAUCGUGCUCCGGCGUGGUCAAUAACCUCUCGGAGUUGGUUUAGCGAUUGCUAAGGCACGACGUCCUCACACGUUCGUAGUCGGAUCGUCAAAGUCUACUCCACCAAAACGAUUCCCACGAUCUCAUGAAAGACAGGGACAACUUCGCCUCUAUCAAUAUGUUUUAAAAUACUGUUGACAUCGUCUCCAAUGCCGUCAUUAAAUUCUAACGGUGACGCCAUAUUGAUGGCGUAGGGUGUCUACCCGAGCAAGGACAUUUUUGCCAUACCAUAGAUAGGCUUUUCUGCACUAAUGAUGUGCAUUUGGCACCUCACGAUGAGUUUUGUUGGUGCUCCUCCGGCCCCAGCAACUCUGAACCUGUGUUUUCCAAUAUGACUUGUUGAAUCCUCUGCCGGCGUGGCUCCGACCCCGGCGAUCCAGUGCUUGCACUCCUGCCAGCUCACUCGGCUUGUUGGUGUACUAACGACUAUGGCCCCGACAACUUGGAUAUGUGUUCCUCCAGUUCCUAGCUCGCUGGCAUCACCGAAUGGCGUGGCUUCCCCCUGCGUCUUCUCCUCGACCAUGUACACCUCCACGCCUUGCCUGGUGUUAGUCCCAAAGCUCGUAUGUCUGGGGCGCCCAGGGCCACCCUCCGGUGGCAGGUCUAGCCCCACCUUGGCUCUUCCCCUCAUAGCUUUCAACCAGGGUGAAAUCUUUGCCUUGCUUGUCGGUGCUGGCAGAGGCGACACCCGUGGGUGUCGUUUUGCCUACUUGGAGGCGGUGUCAUGGUCUCCAUAUACACCCCUCUUCGAGCUCAGGGAAAACCUAGGUCUGGCUCUCCGGUGCUGGCUGGUAUCGUUUUGUCUACUCGAAGUUGUUGUCAUGGCCUCCAUAUACGCCCCUUUUCGAGCUCAGGGGAAACCCUAGGUCCGGUUCUCUAGAUCAGAUCAUGAAGGAUCUAUCUUGCUAGCUCCCGACGCCCAAUUAUUGGCUUUGGCGGUGUUUGACAUCAUGCCGGUUUGGCCCGCCCCUCUAGAUCAGGGCUUCGUGGGUCUAGCUGUGUUGUCUCCCUGUUUGGGCCGAGCAUCCCUUAUCCCUCUAUUUUAGGCACCUUAUUCACCGUCUUUUUGCGUUCAUGUCAUGUGUUGUAUCCUUCUUUGCACUCAUUCGUUCCCUCAAUGAAAGAUAGGCAACCUCUGCAUAUUCGAGAAAAGAAAGUCUCAUUUCUCUCUGUACUCAUCUCAACUCUCUUGGUGACGGCAAGAUUCCAAGAAGCAAAGCACACACGUGUCUCAACAGGUGUAGUGCCCCAUCAGAAAGACACUGCAGAGCAGCGUGCCACGCGGGCCAGAAGCAACAGAGGCACGGCUGGCUGGCUGCGCGCUCGCUGUGUGCGGCGUGGCGCAGACUGCGGAGAGAGACCGGCCGAGAUAGGCUCAUGCGGACGGCGCCUACUGCCAGACGGCGGGCGCACCAACUUUCUUCGUCGUGGCCCGGUCGGUCGGGGCUCCCGUGCCUCAUGGCUCAUGCACGCGCGCUUGCUUGCUUGCACACCUGCCCAUGGAUCACGCGCCCAACCCAAGGCCGCAACACACGCACAGGUAACAACUACUCCUCGCUCCCUCCAACACCAGCCAUUGCCAUUGCCAUCGCCGAUUAGUUGACGGACGCCGGCGGCGUUCACGGCGAGCAAGCCCGCCGGCCAGGGCGUCGCGCCGUCCAGAUCAUAGCUCAAUGGUACGUCACGUCAGGCCCUGCACGCUCUUCUGCCCGUGCCUUCCUUCGACGCGUGCCCAGUUCAGCGGCUUCAAAAAUUCUUGACAUGCUCCGUGCGCGCUGCAAUGCAGUCCCUGCUGCCGCUGUUCCUCAGGCCGGCGGCGCGCUUCUUGGGGCCGUUCCUGGCGGGCCGGGCGGCGGAGGCGGCGGCCACGGUGCUGCACCGCGCCGGCCUGCUCCCCAGGGACCGGGCGCUGCGGCGGCUCGUCAGGGACGACCUGCUCCGCGGCGGCGCCGAGGACUACAUCGCGCGUCUCGUCGUCGGCGUGGUGAGCUGCCUCUGCUAGGUCGCCAUCACAAGGUGGUUCCGGUCAUUUAGGACUGAGGUGAAAUCCAGUCAUUUAGCCGAAUUGAGAACCAGAAAUUCCGAAUAUCGAGAAUGUACCCAUGAUCGGCAUUUCAAAAGCAUGAUGCAAACUCAUGAAUGUUUGGAGAAAUAAGGGCGAAGAAAAUGCGUGUGGCUUCAUGGUCAAAAAUUUACACAUGUAUCAAAGUUUCCUGAAGUACUGGUACAUGACGAAGCAACGAAAAAACUCUGGGACCGCCGAACUGCAAUCUGCAGUGUAUCUGUGUAUAUGAACCAAAGCCGAUAUGACAUCGGUUGAACGAAAGAACAAAGCCGAAAUCCUAUCACCUGUAUACCCUGUUAAUUCCCUGUACCAAUGCCCUAUCUAGACAAGCACCACCAGCAGAAAAACCUCAAGCUGGAAGAGUAUACCAAUGUCGGAAAAAAUAUGAAAAAAAAGGAAAACACAUGCACAUAUCAUCUCUUCAGUCUCAGAAUUCAGAAAGGUUGCCAGCUCUGACUCUCGCAACGACGAAACUGUCAGAAAGCUCGGAUUCUGAAAGUAUACACUGGCCCUCCCCCUCAAGCAUUCCUCAGGGCCAUGACCCGGGCGGCCAAUUCUUCAAAGUCCGGCAUCUUCGGGUGCACGCGUACGCUCCCAGGACAGUUUGACCGCAGUGAGGUGGACCGAGCAGGAACCUUGGCAGCUUCACCUGGGCUAAUGGACUCCGGCGGUAGCGAGACUGCUCUUCCUGGAGUGUGUAAAGAACCGUUUUGCUGGCAUUGUGUUUGGGCUCCUUGACAGUUAGCAGUUCUGCUGGUUUCUACUGUUGUUUUGGUUUCAUCUGUACCUAAACCUUUCUUGCUAUAAUGCAUCAGAAGUUUGUCCAUCAUCCUCUCCUCCUCAUCAGGAUCUCCGCCGUGCACAUCAGUGUUCCUGCUAUUGAGUCGAUGGUGACUAUUUGCAGCCUGAGGCGACAGAUCACCAAAGUCAAUAGCAGUCUCAUCUUCCCCUGCUUUAGGCUGCUGCAUGGAUCCACCGUAGUCAUCAUCAUACUGAACUCCGUUUCUCAUGCCUGAGGGACUUGGUCGACCACUAGGAGUUCUCUCAACAUUCCUGCCAUUACCAACACCAUUGCCCUUCCGGUCAUAGCCCUCGUUAGCGCCCUUGUGCUUGCUUGGUUGUGUUCUGUGAAUGUUGGCCUUUCGAAUUGUGACCUUUUCAUCGUUAGGUGUCUCAUCAUAAGAAGGUGCUGCUGGCCUUCUUCUAACAGAAACAGGCCGAAGCACGUCUUUGUCAGCCAAACGACCUGUCCUUUCAGUCAUAUUGCAGUUGCUGUCAAUUGGUUUUGCAGGAUCAUCGUUCACAUGCUGGAUGCCAAGUUUAGGUUUGACAUAAGGAGGCUGCACAUCAGCCACCCUCUGUGGUGCUCGCUGUCCAUUUUGCACCGUGUGUCCGAGAUCUUCCAAGUGCUGUGGUCUGCCACGCAAGCAACUGUUGCCCUCUUCUUUUUCAUCACAAUUCCUUCCCUUUGCUCCAUUCGGAUUGGAAUUUGGAGUGGGCCUGUUUAUAGUUUUACCACUUGAAGGAUUCGGUGAAGUAGGUCCUUGAUUCUGCAGGCCAAGAGCUUUGCACCCUAAGUUUGCAUGUCUUCUCGUAUAAUCAGGACGGCCAGGUAUGGGUGAUCGGUGGUGAUAGCCAAGCCCCCUGUUAUUCUCUUUUUCGACACCAUGUUCUUUCUUUGUUUCUUUUGGCUUCACAAUUGGUGGAAUUAUUAUGUUGCUUUCUGUCUCAGGAAAUUUCACCGAACCAGAUCCUUGUUUCGGUAGGCCAUUAAUAUCUAGCUCCACAGCUUCCAUCAGCUCCUUCUCGGAAGGGCGGACAUCUUUUUUCUUCAGUUUCUGAGCUCGCUUUUGAGCCUCCUCUCUUUCCUUUUGCAGAGGAGAUACUGAUUUCUCCAAAUGUUCCUUACCAUCAGCUUUGUCAGCAUGCCGCCUUCUGGUAUUAUCAUCUUUUGGAGUGUUCUCUCUUUUUAAGUCCAAAGGAGAAACUGAUUUCUCCAAUUGUUCCUUACCAUGAGAUUUAUCAGAAUUCUUCCUUCCAGUACUGUCAUUUAACUGACAAUCAUCCUUCUGGUUGAUGGGCAAAGGCACUGCCAGUUCACCCUUUUCCAUUGAAUCCUUUUCGAGAAGAUCCUGAAAUAGAAAAUCCAAGAUGCCAAGUUAAUGACACAUGUCAUUGUUCGAGUAGUAAAUUCAUUUACGCAAGUUCAUGUAGACAUACAUCUUCAGACUCCCGUGCAGCCCAUAACUUGAUUUCCAACGCCCUCAUGUCAAAACCAACCGAGGAUUCUUCGGCAAUACUUUGCAUUACUUGAAACUUUUCCUCAUCUGUAAAUAAUUCAGACUCAAGUUUCCGGAUAAACUGCAGGUACAAGAAACAUUAAUGAGGUUAAACAGAACCCUAUGAAGCGAUUUGAUGACAAUAAAUUAUUGGAGCAUCUCUCUCACCUCCAGGCUAACAAAAGGUUCAAGAGAACCACCAUAUCUUUCUGUGAAUAUAUGCCUUAAGUCGCACAGUUCAGGCAAGUCUGGGAACCGAGCAGUGGCAAAAAUUAGAGUUGACACGGCCUCCAUGGAUUCCUGGGGGCAAUCCCUGUUGAUGCAGAAAUUAACGAGUGUCAUGAUGAAUUGUACCAUGAAGAUAAUUAAACUGCCAGAGAGAAUGGUUAUAUUCAUUAACUGAAGCUCGAAGCAAAAAAAAGAAUGCUUGUGAUAACACUAAACUAGACCAUAAGAAUAAUGAAAGAGAUAUAUAUUUUGGAGUUAAAACUCUGUUCAUUCGUAAAAAGAAGAGUUAAAACUCUGUUGCCACACUGACUUUAUCCUACAGCAAUCACAGGCAUACUAAGGCCCUGUUUGGGACAGCUCUGCUCCAUCAAAAGCAGCUCUGUUCCACCAAAUCCACUUUGAAGCAGUUUCAUACAGAAGUUGUAGCUCUUUCAAAGAGAAUGUUUGGCUUUUAUCCAGUUUCAGCUUCACGAAUGGAAAAUUUGGUGGAAAUGAUCUAUUUGAUUGGAUGAGAGGGGAGAAACGAAGAGGUAUCCACUUACGGGUGGCAGUGGUGGGUAAUUUUGCUCUAACUCCAGCUUCUACAAUUUUAUGGAGCACCUCCUAGAGAGCUUCAUAAAAAACAGGAAGUUGGACCCCAGAUUCUAGUUUUUUUGUGGAGCUGUCUAUCAUGAAGCUAUCCCGUUUGGCUUAUGUUUUCUAGAGCGGAGCUGAAUUUUCUGAAGUAGAGCAGUCCCAAGCAGGCCCUAAUAAUGGUCAAUUGGCCUUUCCCGCAAAUAAAUGGUUAAUCGGCCUUUACUAUUUUAUAUUCACCAACUGAAGAUCCAAACAGAAAGGUUUUUGUUUAGAGUAAACUAGACCAUCAGCUGGAUGUGUGCUUCACUUGAUGCUGAGGCUGAGAGGUAAUCUUCCAUCAUCCAAGAAAAACUAUCCCAGCAGAAGAAUCCUAUACCGUCGAUGCUACAGUCCUGCUAAAUCGAUUCCUUAAUAAAAUGCCACACAGGGGUCCCACUAAGAGAGUUGGGAUGCAUAACUCUCUUGGCCAUUAACAAACUUUGCUUCCCGUUGACCACAGAAAUAGUGGGACAUCCUUUCCUACAGUUUUGACCCACAAAGCAACGCAUACAAAAUUAAGGGUGCAGAGUUGAGUUAACCAGAUAGAUAUACCUCUGUUUCUGCAGGCUGUUGAGUUGCUUGCCAAGGGUAUCGCAGUACUGCUCAAUCAUGUUGUAGCAAGAAGCAUGGUUCAUCUCCAUUAUGAGCGCAUCCAUCUGGAAGCAGAGACAGGAAACAAAGCUAGAAAUUCAGUCAUUACAUUCACAACUCUCCUCUAGUAAACUGACUAGAACUUGACCACCAGUCGGUAGAAGCUUUUGCCAACUUCUCCAGUUGAGAAAUGGGGGCCAGAGCGCAAAAAACAUUCUCUAAUCCUCCUUCAACCAGGACCAUUCGUACCAGUCCUGAGCAAUGUACUUGAGCAGUGAAAUGCUGCGCAGGAGAGAAGUACCGAGAGAAGACAUUAUCUUACCCGUCCGAAGGCAUGGAUGUCGAGGCCGUUGGCGAUGAGGUCGGCGACGUCCUUCUUGAGGAAGCCGAUCAUGGCCUGCUUCUUCCGCCGUAUGACGACCAGCCGCGUCCGGAUGCAUUUGAAGGCGUGCUUGCUGCAUCCAUCGUUCAGCAACCCAGCAGCCGGUUAGCCAAGUAAUCCAGCAUCACAGGAUAUGCUUACAUGCGACACCAACAGCGACGAAAUUAAUGCGGCCGGAUCGCCCGGAAAUGCAAGUGGAGAUGGAACCCGAACUCGACGCGACACGGGAUAUUUUUUUUUUCCUUGUAAAACAAAGCAGGUAAGAUAACUCGACCGGGGAAAACGCCCUCGAGAUGCGGACGAAGCUGGCCACGAAGUCACGAACCCCAACGAGUUCGGAAGCACGAAACGGAACAAAAUCCCGAACAUGACGCCGCGCAGCCCAGCCGAGGAACCCCGAGCAGCAGAGCAGCAUCUGGAGGCACCGGAUUGGACUCUAAAGGAAGGAGGAACCGCCGGUCUAACUAAGCGACCCCCGCCCCCGAGGACUCCGACGAGCUCGCCGGCCGGAACCCGACGAACCGAAGCGAAACUAGCCCGCAGCGAACAAGCAGCGAAUCUAUUCUCGUCUCGUACCAGCGGUUGUAGAACUUGGAGUUGAUGAGGCCGUCGAACAUCCUCCUCCGCCUCCCCUCUCGCCGGAGCCGCCUCUCUCCCUCCCUCCCUCCCUCCUCUUCGAGCAGCGGUUGGAGCUCGCGACGGCGGCGUCAAAGCGUCACGGGGUCGGCGGGGGAGGGGAGGGAGGCCACCGCGCGCGAGACGGCGAGAGGGGGGCGGCGGUUGGGGGAGGGGGAGGUGGAGGUGGAGGUGGUGGCGGUGGUGGGCUGCAACAGGAGAAGGGAACGAACGGAAACUCGGUGCAGAAAAGAAAAGGCUGUCUGUUGCGUCGCAGGCGUGUGUCAGCCUUGCGGGAGGGGGGAGGGGGAGGCGGCCAGGUGGCGGCCCGGGGUUCCCGUCCGUCGCGGGCCGCGCGAUCGGGAACCGACGGCGGGGAUCGGAUGCGAGGCGGAGGAUCGUAACUAACCUCGAGGGGGAUAAAGCUCGCUCCCAACAAACCGGGUUUUGAAAUUUGGGAGCCCCUGGCAGAGCAUUAUCGGCCCGUUGCAGAAAAUAUUAGUUCAUUUUUUUUACCCUAUCGAAUGUCGCUAUUUUUUUUCGUAUAUUUAGUUUCAGGUUAAAGCAUCAAGCAUAGCGAAGAAACAUGUAAAUGUGCGUUUUUAAUGGACGUUGUGUUCCGUUUCAUGAUAUUAACUGGUUUCGUAAUAAUUCUAUUAAUUUAGCUUGUUCUUUCUCUGCUUUGGUUAGAAUUCAUUAAUUCAGUACGAUUUUAAGACAAACAUUGCAUCGGCUCGUUGACGAGGCGGCACUUGUGUUGUACGUGUGCAUGCACGGGCUUGCUUUUUUGUAGUUGCAGAAACAGAAAGAAACGUUGCUUGGUGAUAUAACGUAUCCGCGAAGAAUGGCUAGAAAGUAUUAAUUUUGAAAUAGUCUAGGAAUUGCUUGCAAAAAAUGUCUAAAAAAUGAUGGUUACGCAUCUCAUUAAAGUUAAGUGAAGAGUUGUGGAGUUUUCAAAGAAAUAAAUAAAGGGUAUUCGCAAAAGAAAAGUGAAGGGUAAGGGGAGGGGGGAGGUUCGCAAAGUGCAUGUGUGUUAUGGUGUAUGUACAUGCUCUCAUCUUAUAUUGCCAAAAACAGACCAAAACAUUGUAUGGAGAUAUAAUGUUCCACACAGUAAAAAAAAUACUAAUUUUGGUAUUAACUAAAGAUAAUGAUUCCAUCCAGGGCUGCAAGUGAGUCGAGUUCUAGCGAGUUAGGUUAGGUUCAGCUCAACUUAUACUAAAAUUCGAGCGAGCUCGGUCCGAGUGAAGCUUUAGGUUGAGCUAUAGAAAGUGUCUCGUGCUCAUUUUGUAACGAUCUCGAGUCAAUCUCAAGCUAGUGUCGAGCUAAAUAACAUGAUUUUUUUAUAAUCUAACGCAUAUUUUUCAGACAAAGUAGGCCACAACACAAGAAACCUUUAUAUAAUUCAACUUAUUCUUUGUCAACUUGAAGACUAGUAUUUAAUAGUAAGAGAUCGUAUAUGAACCAGGAAGAGGAAAACUAAGGUGGGUGUGCUCUCAAACUUUUGUUUAAAUAACAUGAUAUUUAACACAUGGCUCAACACAUACCAUAGGGCCAAAUUUUCUCGGUAUUUAAUUAAGCUUCCAUGUUGGGUACUGGUAGGUGAAGUAAAGAAAAAUGGUACACAACAUACAUGGUAAUAUUUUUUUGACUAUCUAUAAGGUAGUAAAUUAUCCAAUUUCCUUUUAACAUAUAUCAAAAUUAUGUACUACAAUUAUAUGAUAUCGAGCUAUUAAGCAAAAUCAGGUGAGCUAGUGUUAGUUCAAGAUCACUUCGUUCUUCGAUCGAGCUACAUCAAAUGUUCAUACUUAACUCAUUUCUUUCCGAGUCAAUCUUAAGUCGAGACAAAAUACGAGUCAAUCUUGAACGGUUCACAAGCCUAGACCUUUUCUUGAAGUCCUAAUUGCAUCCACAUCUCGAGGCCUUGUUUGGUUAGAGGCUAAACCACAUGUAUUGGAAGGGAUCACGGCCCGAUCCACGGGGGUCAUCCAGGCAGGUAAUAAAUUAACAUGGAUCAUAAUUUAACCGUUUGGUUUGGACCAAGGCAUGGAAAAUCCAAGCCCAACCCACGGCUGUCCACCCCGUUCCACAGGGGCCAAAAGAAACGUCUAGCCCUCGUGGAACAGAUCCACGAUGACAAACGGAGUGGUGAUUGGCGACAUAGCAAACCCUAUCGAGGAGAGCAGCGGCGACGCAAGAAACUGAGCCGAGCGGAGCCGCCUCCGACGACGAUGGCCGUCUCUUCUUCUCUUCCCUUAAGCAUCUACCUCUUUCUCCUUCCCUUCUCUACUCCUUUUCCUCCUCCUCUGAUCAUUCCCUUCCACUUAACAUAUCAGAACCUACAGCCGGUGCAGCAAACCUAAAGCAUACAUCACAUGCACACAUUUUAAAAGCCGUCAUCAUCAUUGAACCGCUGACCCAUUUUCAGGAAAGAGAUCCGCAUCAUCCUUGCUAGUCCGGCCAUCCAUCAAGGUCCCCACAAUGGCGCCACCUCCCCGCAUGCAAGCUGCUAAGCACGUCACGGUCGCCACUGAUACACUGCAGCACCAUGCUGCCAACUACCAUCACUCGACGCAGCUUGAAGUCUAUGAAAGAUUUGUCGUGCAUAACACUUGUCGAACAUGCAUGACACAUCCUAACACCUGUCGCCCAGGAAUGACUCGACAUCUUCACCGAAGCUUCGUGCAAGACAAAGCCGCUCCACCAGCCUUUGUCGCCCAGUGCUACUCCAUAAACGAUACUCCCAAGAGAGAAAUGACACCGCAGUGCCGCCAUCGUCCGAUCUAGAAGACAAGAUCCGAGGGUUUCCCCAUGAGCAGCACGAGUGGGUCGACAAUAAUUACACGAUGAUGCCUUCAUCAAGGUAACGGCGCAGAACGCCGCCAUCGCCCGUCGUCAGCUCGGUUUUCACCAGCAACUAUGUCUCCCUCACUCGUAGUCGGUACUAGAUGACGGAUCUCGAGAUCCAACCAACCAGCCUUCAGGCCGACCACCUCCGAUAAAGGAGAUCAUCGCCACCACCAAGCCCAGGGUCGCCACCCCAGGCGUCCACGUGACGACGAGGGAGAACCGAUCUGAGGUGCAAAAAUCCAGAUCCAUCGCCGCCAGCCUCCAUUACCGGCCGCAUGCUGCCCCCGCAACUGUGGUGGCCCAACCAUCAUUGAAAUCCUAUCGAGACACCGCCUAUCGCGCCAACUCCGCCUCCACGCUGGGUGCCCAGGGUCGUCAUUGUGUAUCGGCCAGAAAUUCCCUCGUGGAGAGAGAAGGAGAGCCCGUCGUCUGCAUGGCGAGCUUUCCUCGCCGACCACCUAUGGCUGCGACGGGGAAACAUGGAAGAAGGAAAGGUCGGGGUGGCCGCUCCUAGGGUUUGCCUGAGCUGCCCCGUGGAGACAACACGAGUGAUGCGUGUUGAGUUAGAGGCGAAGGCGGUGUGUGGUCAAUUAAUUUUUUAUUCUCCAAUAAAAUAUUUUCUAAAUAAUGGAAACAUCAACUUAAUAAUAACAAUCUCUACCUAAUAAUAAAGCACGGACUUUUUCUGAUCGUCCGUCACGCCAUUUUGCAAAUGAGUCCCUUCGUUUUUUAUACAUUAACCCGCAAUGCAUGUUUAAGUCACAAUUGAACCGUUUGUCCGCAGUUUCUCAAAAAAUGCCCUGAUAUUUUAGAUAAGCAACCCGUCAUCCAUAUUUAAGUCAGCCAAACCUUUUUUUUUUUCGUUUUAGUAGAAAACCCCUUAACGUUUCAGUUAAUCAAUCCGUAUUUUAUGUAAAAUAAAAUUAUUCAUAUCUUUUAAACUGUAAGUCCGAUUUUAACAUGUUAUAUAUGAAUUUUUAUUAGAAAAUAUGUAGAAUCUAAAUAUGAUAUUAUUUUUAGCUUUUAAAUAUUUUUAAAACAUUGUUUUUGUUACAAACUUAAUCUAUAUAUAGUGCACGGUCCGUUUCUUUUUCAUACCAUCGACGGUCCAAAUUGNNNNNNNNNNNNNNNNNNNNNNNNNNNNNNNNNNNNNNNNNNNNNNNNNNNNNNNNNNNNNNNNNNNNNNNNNNNNNNNNNNNNNNNNNNNNNNNNNNNNNNNNNNNNNNNNNNNNNNNNNNNNNNNNNNNNNNNNNNNNNNNNNNNNNNNNNNNNNNNNNNNNNNNNNNNNNNNNNNNNNNNNNNNNNNNNNNNNNNNNNNNNNNNNNNNNNNNNNNNNNNNNNNNNNNNNNNNNNNNNNNNNNNNNNNNNNNNNNNNNNNNNNNNNNNNNNNNNNNNNNNNNNNNNNNNNNNNNNNNNNNNNNAAACCAGAUUGAGGGGAAAAACAUCGAGAACCAUGCAUACACACCUAUAAAAUAUCUCGUGGGAAAAAACAACAUAUUUCUCAUCUUAUUUCGAGCGAGUGUGGGUGCACGCGCACGUGAAAUAGAGAAAGACCUUAUGACUGACCACAUUCAAACGCGUCUUCCUUGUGUGAGAACUAAUAACAUUGUCGGAAAUACAAAUGUGAUGUCGUGUGAAACUAAAAGACACAGGCCUAUUAAGGCCUUAAUUAAGUCAUGAUUAUUGGAUUAAGAGCGUAUGUUUUUUUCUCUGUCGUUGCAAUGCAUGAGCUCUUUUACUAGUAACAAUAAUAAUAAUAAUAUAACAACAACAAUGUAGCUAUAAAAAAUAUUUAUUGUGGGUGUGAAAUUUCACCAAAGUAGACAUGUCCUCAGCAUUAUGCCUUCCCUGGGGCACCUGUCAGUUCUAACAGUUCUUCACAAAUAAGUGUAGGUCAACUCCCUGCCAAAAAAGUAGUGUAGGUCAACUCACCGACAUUCCAACAUGUUUCCUCUACACAACAGAAUGUCUGUUCCAGGCAUCACUUUAAAAAAAUCACGCAAAAAAAAAACCUUAAAAUUGUUUUGACUUCCGGUGUUUUUUUGUGUGUGUGUCUCUCUGUGUGUGUGGGGGGGGGGGGGUUUGUUUUGACUUCCGGUGUUUUUUUUUUUUUGUGUGUGUGUGUGUGGUGCGCUUGAUAGGGGCUUGCGCGCGGGAUAACGGAGUGGUUAGCACGAGUGGCAUCACGAGGCGGAGAUGAACGCGUUGCCAGGGCGUUGUUUCGUUUGGUUCAUCACUGGACAUGUGCUGCGUGUCCAUUUGGGUGAUGAAAAUGAAGGCCCGACCGGCGCCGGCGCCAUGAGACGGAAAGCUCACGGACAGCUCGCGUUCCUCCCUCCCCCUCUCUCUCUCUCUCUGUCCCUGGCCUGCCUGUCCCCGACAUUUGGCACCGACGCGGCGUGAGGGAAUUGUUGUUUUUUCACUCUGUUCUCGUGCACUGCGUGUGUGUACGUACGCAUGUGUCCGCAACCGAUUUGGACUUGGGUGGUAGUACUGGUACUGGUACGUGCUUUAGCCGUUGACGAAUGGCAAGCCAGAGCAAGAGCAAGAGCUUGCCCCCACAAACCGCCGUCGACCAAGUAGCCGAGCAAGAAACCUAUACGUUUGCCGGCUGAAAAGAUGAUGAUGACCAGCCAGGCAGGAGCUGGGCAUGGGCAUUGAUCAAGCAGCGACGAUGAUGAUGAUGAUGGUGAUGCCGCGACGGUGGCGCGUGCGAUGCGGGGCUGAAAAGAUGAUGGAAAAGUCGAAAUCAUGGCUGCGGCCUGCGUGCUGUGUUCAUUCAUUCAUCCCUGUGCGGCGCAUUGCGAUUCUGUCGCCAAUUGGCACCGGACGCCUUGCGGUUUGCACCCCCUCCCGUUUGCCGGCUUGGAUGUCUAGCCCGGUGUGUGCCGUCCUUGACAUGUUGCCAUGACAUGCGUAGAUUAUUACUCCCUCCAUUUUUUAAAUAUAAACCUUUUUAAGGAUUUUAUUAGAAAACUAUAUACGAAACAAAAUGAAUGAAUCUAUAUUUUAAAAUAUAUUUAUGUACAUUCAUAUGUAGUCUUCUAGUAAAACUUUUACAAAGACUCAUAUUCAAGAAUGAAGGAAGUAUUUUUCACAUGCGCAUGAUUGAUCUGACCAUACUCCAUAUUCUGUAGCAUCAAGCAAUUGAGAAGAAAAACUAGCAAAAAAAAAAAACUAAUUUGUGAACAAUCGUUGGUGUUGUUUGGUUUAAAACUUCAAGCUUGAACCAAUGAACUGGAAAACGCGAUUUGUUUUGGCUGAAAUAUGUAUGAGCACACAAGAGGAAACCUCUGUUUUAAUUUAUUUAUUUUUUACUUUUAUUCAUUGGUGUUGUCGAGCGUUGUCUAUGAUUUUGGUCCGAAGUGAGGGUCUAAUUUGGCAAAUACGGAAUUUCUGAAGCAAAAGAGAGAAAAAUAUCGAAUAUUCAGGCCAGAGUGUUGGCUCAGAUGAGCCUGGUGAACAGUACCGCAUUUAAAAAUAGAAAAUAAGUUUGAAAAAAUCCAUAACAUUUUUGUGAUGCAAGAUGUUUCUGUGCGUGAACUCCGUGCAAAUUUUUAUGAAGUUUGAAUAUUCGAGUAGAUCGUGAAAAAAGAGAGAAAAUCAGGCGAGAACAAUGCGAUUCUUAAAAGUUUCUCAGACAUCCAAAAUUUGUCUUUUUUGCCACGAGCUCCUAGAAUGUCCAAACUUCACAAAAUUUGCACGGAUUUGACGCACAAAAGCAUCUCGUACCAUAUUUUUUUUGAAUUUUGAAACAUUUUUUGUACCUUUAAUUGCAUUAUUGUUCAUGCCCGAGCUCAUCUGAGCCCGGGAGCCAAAUCGUUGCUCUAAAAAUAAAUGAUCUUUUGAGGCUCCAAUGACAAUGGCGUGGUCAUUGACAACAUUAUAUGUGCCAACAUGUUUGUUUCUAGGUAACUGGCAAAAACUAUAUCAAUGAUUUAUUUAAGAACCUAACAUUGAUCUAACGUCUACGAAAUAACUAAAUUUUAUGUUGAUUGAGAAAUUCCCAAUUCUAUUGAUUUUAAUCAAACAAAGUAUCGAUAAUUCAACCCGGAGGGUGGACUGAGAUGAGCCCGGUGAACACUAUCGUGUUUAAAAAUAGAAAAAAGUUUAAAAUAAUUCUUAACUUUUUGUGGUGCAAGAUGCUUCUGUGCGUGAACGUUGUUCAAUUUUUUAUGAAGUUUGAACAUUUGAGGAGAUCGUGGAAAAAAGAGAAAAUCAGGCGUGAAAAAUGCGAUUCUCAAAAGUUUCUCACACAUCCGACAUUUAUCUUUUUUUUUACCGCAACUUCUUCGAAUGUCCAAACUUCACAAAAUUUACACGGAUUUCACGCACAGGAGCAUCUUGCACCACAACUUUUAUUUUGAAUUUUUAAACUUUUUUGUACCUUUAAUCAUAUUACCGUUCAUGCUCGGGCUCAUCUGAGCCCGGGAGCCAAAUCGAUGCUCUAAAAAUAAAUCAUCUUUUGAGGCUCCAAUGACAAUGGUGUGGUCAUUGCCAAAAUAUUAUAUGUGCCAAAUCACUGGCAAAAACUAUAUCAAAGAUUAAUUUAAGAACCUAACAUUGAUCUAACGUCUAUGAAAUAACUAAUUUUCCAUGUUGAUUGAGAGAUUCCCAAUUCUAUUGAUUUUAAUCAAACGAAGUACAUACAAAAAAUGAAAAUAAAACAAAACACAAAAAUAUCCUAAUUUAAAUGUUCUCAAAUUUAAAAAAAUUCUAAAUGCCAAAAAAUGAUCACAAACUUAACAUUGUUCCCAUAUUUUAGAAAAUGUUCAAGAGAUUUGAAAUAAGAGAACUACAAAUAAAAUAAAAAUCAAGAAACCAGAAAGAAAAUUACAAAAAGAAGAAUAAAAAACCUAUUCAUGGAAGGAUAACCUUCUCAAAACUGGGAAUGGGCUGGGCCAUAUAGCAGACCGCUCUCCCGAGGAGGGUCGUGUUUGCCUGGUAUUCCUCAUGUUACGCGUGGAAUAGGAUCUACUCAACGAGGAGCGAUUGCUCCAAUGUUCUCUGCUCGUUGCCAUUAGUUUGUUGACAUGAGACCACGACUCACUACACCGGCUACCUAGCGCCGGUGCAUGCUACAAUGCCAUCUACAUUUGUCUCGAUGACGUUAAACAUGUGACCCUGCCAUUGUCGUUGUUCGUAUCCUCAAAGCCGUUACUUGAACUAGAGGAGUAUACAUUAUUGAAUUGCAUGGUGGGCUCUGAUCGAUGUAGACACCACGGAUCACGAAUGGUAAGAAAUCAAAAACAAAAGAACACUUUUUUUUUUUUGUUUGAGAUUGAAACUCUUCCUCACCAAGGGUUUAUCAAGGUUUCAGUAACCGUGGGCUGUGCCGGGAUUGCCAAAGCCCAAUGCCACUGAGGGCCCAUGCACGCCACUAGUCCCGUCCAGCACCGCCAGUAAAAGGGCCCAAGCAAUAAAAGUCGACGAGUAACUUGCUGCUCGGACACUUGCCGGCCCGUAGGUACGGACGUAGGAGUGACCACGGUCGACGACCACCUUUUGUACACCUAACGGUCGUGAACCUGAACCUACCAGCAGCUCGCUUUGCCGGAGGCGCCUACAACCACCGGUCUUCGCCGUAAGCACGCACGGCAACUUGCGUGAAAAACCAUGUGCUUCUCGCUCAGCGUGAACCCGUAAACACGUGAACAACCCGAACCGCCACCGCCACAGCGACCUGGACGCCGCCGGCCGGCAAGAAACGAUGAUGGCUCCGACUCCGAGCAGCGUCAUCCAGGCCAAGCUGGUGGGUACGUCGCCCAUGCAUGCAGUUUUUGCUUCUUUUCCCCAGGAUUAAUCACCGGCCAUCUUCUCUGCAUGGCUUUGUAACGAUCGAUCUAGCAUUUUUUUUUUCAUGGUGAGACCGUGAGAGUGAUCGGAUUUGCGUGCGUGCGUGCGUGCGUGUGCAGGUGCUCCUGGGAGACCUUGGCGCCGGGAAGACCAGCAUCGUGGUCCGGUUCGCCAAGGGGCUCUACUACGAGUGCCAGGAGUCGACCAUCGGGGCGGCCUUCUUCUCGCACGCGCUCCCCGUGAGCGGCGGCGGCGAGGACGCCACCGUCAGGUUCGACAUCUGGGACACCGCCGGCCAGGAGCGCUACCACAGCCUCGCCCCCAUGUACUACCGCGGCGCCGCCGCCGCCGUCGUCGUCUACGACAUCACCAGCACGGUGAGACAGAUCCUCUCUUCUCCUCGGAAAUUAAUUUCAUUGAGCGAUAUUAAUUCUCUGAAUAUGUGCCGGAUGAGUCGAUCAUUUCUGACAACGGAAACUGAAACUAAUUGCUGCGUGGGCGUCAGGACUCGUACACCCGAGCAAAGAGGUGGGUCGACGAGCUUCAGAGACAAGGUAUAUAUAACUGAACACGUCUCCUGUAGUUCCAUCUCGUCGCUGGAACUCGAAAAUGCAUGUCAGCGCUCAGGUUUCAGUGCACAUCCGAACAGGGAACCCGCAUCUGGUGAUGGCGUUAGUGGGCAACAAGGUGGAUCUGGAAAAAAAGAGGAAGGUUGGCACACAGGUAUUUACUUACGACAUAGGAGUAUUUGCAGACAAAAAGUUCAGAGCCCCAGUGCUGCUGCAUCUGUCAGCCAAACACAUCAUCGGCUCCGUGUGUUUCUCUGAAUGAACGCGAACAGGAGGCGCUGGAGUACGCGGAGCGGAACGGCCUCUUCUUCCUGGAGACGUCGGCCAAGACGGCGCAGAACGUCGGCGAGCUCUUCUACGAGCUAGGCAGGGAUCUGCAAACUCUACCUGCUUCUUUGCGAUCUGCUUCAUCUCUUGCUUGCUUUUGCUUGUACUGAUACGUGUGUUUAUCGGCAGCCGAGAGGCUGGUGAAGGUGCGGCCCAGCCAUCCAGCCGGGAUGGUCCUGCACGACGACGGCCAGCGCCGCGUCGGGGGACGGUGGUUCUGUUGCUCCGGGUGAUCGACGAUGCCGAUGCGUGUGGCACGCUGGCGGCGGUAAGGGAAGGUGUGGCGUGAGUAGGAUUCUGUGUCGUGUGCAUAUGCCGCUCUCUCUGUAUGUACUGUACGUAGCAAGGACUCGACUAGUACUUGUUGCACUGGUGAUGGUAUGACAUGUGGUUUAUGGUGGUGUACGUUUUUGGGGUACAGGCACUGGCAGGGGCUAAACUGCUGAUUCUACGAUAAAAAAUGCUAGACCUAUUAAAUAUUACUUACGUUUACUAAACCUUUCAACUAAUGUAAACAUGCUCCUCCUGAUUUUCAUUUUCAGGGGUGGAUGAGCCUCACCCUCCUCUUAAUCCAAUCAAUGAUUGCCAAAUCAGACUAUCCCAUAAACGUAUGUAAACAUUUCCGUAGAUGUAGCAUUGCUCUUCUACGAUACUUUCUAUGUUUCAAAAAGAAUAUAUGCAUCAGAAAUUUGUUGUUAAUUGUAUUUUGUUGGAUUUUUUUCUUUUCUGUAUGCAUGGUUUCAGCUUGUCAUGCUCAGGUCUGUACUCUGUAAACUGAGUUUGCACAUGUACACGUUUUGUCCUAUUUUUUUCUUCUUUUGAAUGCUCUGAUGUGAUUAAAAGCUACUCCAAGGGCUUCACAUAUUAUAGAUGCGUACAUGCUUGUAGUUCUCACUUUUUCAUGGAUAAUGAAGUAGUUGAUGUUGGUGACUAACAUCCAUUCCAAAGUGAGUUACAAAUGUCAGGUUUGGAGGUAUCCCUUCCUGUUUAAGUAUGCAACAAAAAUGUGCAUAUACAUGAAAAUGAUAAUAGCAGAAGCAGACCAGAAGUAUUACGUACCAAGGUGGACUAUAGCUUAAAAAAUGAUGGUUUAAGCAUAACAUGGAAAGCUUACUUGCACUGCCAAGUUAUGACUUUCAAGAUGGGAUGGGAUGCCGACGGUGACCCUUGAACCAUACUCCCUCCGUUCGUAAAUAUAAGUCAUUUUAAAGAUUUUAAGAAGACUACAUAUGAAGUAAAAUGGAUGAAUCUACAUUUUAAAAUAUGUCUAUAUACAUCCGUAUGCAAUCCUUAUUGAAAACUACGAUAAAGAUGACUCUACGAUGAAGACGGGCUCCAACGACGGCACCACAUCGGACCCGUGCCUAUGCAUGCCGUCUUUGACCAUGGAUCAGGUGCAAGCAAACUUUGAAGCCGUCAUGAAGGAGGAGGAACACUAGCAGGAGAAAGGCCAAAUCUACAACGAACACGCAAGGGAGGAGGUCAUGGCCGCCAUGGUCCCAGCGAAGCCAAACUUUGUUGCGCGGCAGCGGACGCUCUACAAGGCCACACGUGCUCAAGGCGUCCCUCACAACGCAAGUGUGGCGCAGGUAGAUGCACACACACAAGCGCUGAUGGCCGAGGACGAGAACGUUGCUAGCUGUGCGCCCUACGCGUUGUCUAACUUCUGGCGACGCAUGUGGCAAUUGGACAGUGACAGACCGUCCACAUCCAUCAUCGACCUCAUGUCCACCGACACUGAUGACGGACAUGUCACGGACUCCUCUAAGGAUGAAUAGGGAAUAGAAGGUGGCAGGGCAUUAUGUCCCAAAUAGGCCAGUCCAUCUUCCAUGGCCUAUACUCUUUUUUUUUGAAGACCGCACCUUCAUUUUCCGGAUUUUAAAACAAGAGAUGAAGAACGUGGUCGUUGAUACGGAAUAUAAAGGAAAUGGAAGGCGGAUCCCGCUGUAGGACAAGUUUAGCUCCCACCAUUUUUAAUGAAAUUGUGCAAAUUGUAAUAAAUGUGUUCCGAUUUGUAUGAAUUUCAUCCGAUUUUAAACAAUGAUCGAAAUAUAUGAGGAUAUCGUUGGAUGACCGGCUCCUCAAAUAAUGUCCACGAACGCGUGUGAUUUUUGUUUACGUGUCAACGCUAGAGAUGUUCUUACUGGAUUCGACUAAUUUGACCCCUUUCCCCCUUUUCCACCAUUUCUUUGCGAACACGUCCGGACAAGCUCUGAACAUACGGAAGUUUGAAAGUUGCAUGUCGAAAAGUCAGAAGAUGUGUUUAUUUUUUUUGCACGUACGUAGUAACUUCCACAAUUUUCCGAACGUGUGCUGCACGGAUGAACUCCACUCCACACAACAGCCCACUUGUAUGCAUCCAACAAAUGGCCUCACUGCAAAUUCAUGUGGAGUAGAUAAUAAUGGCUCGAAAAUUACGUGGCCUCACUUGUGUGCAUCCACAACUAUGUGUCGGCAGGUCAAACUGACAGUGUUCUGUCAAACCUUCUUACACGGGCUGGGGAUAAAAAGUCCAAUUAAUUGAAUAAUGCGGCCGGUUGCCAUCGCAUUCGCAGCAGUACUGCAUGCUAUAUUGGGUGUUGGGCUCAAAGGGGCAGGGAUAGCGCGAGAGAUCGAUUCUGUUAACAACCGUGUCGCACCACUAGACGGCCAAACGCUGAGGACUUUCCAUCUUGAGCAGCAAGAAGGACCUCGCCGCCAUGCCUGUACACGCGCACAAGAAGGUCGGAAGCGGCAUCACGGACCACGAGCUCGCCCGCAAGAAAGCUGCUGAUCGCCACCUUCCGAGUGCGGCGGCACCAGCACCGCCGCCCAUGAUCAUAAACAUAAACCACUACGGCGGCAACGUGAACAUCCUGGUCCAGGGCAAUCAAGAACGAGGAGGAGCCUCAAGCAGCGCUGCUCCCUCCUCACAGCCACAUGUUCCUCUUCCUCGUCCUGGGAAGGCGGCCAUGGUGGUGCAACCCGCAGAGGCGAGUAAACCUCAGAGGAACCACCCAGUGCAGUCAUCCAAGGAGACAAGGCAAACCCAUAGAGAGCCCAAGCCAUCCACGGAGACGACAAUACAAACCCACACGGGGCAGAAGAAGCACCCAGUGCAGCCACCCAUGAAGACGACGAGACAAACUCACAGAGAGCAACCACCCAGUGCGGGUGCGGCCAAGCCGCGACCUUCCCGAUCCAUCCCCGCAACCGCAACAGCAACAACGUCCUCCUCGGGAGACAAAGGUGGAACCCCGCAUCAUAAGAGCAUCUCUAGUAAAACCCUCAAACCCCCAAACCCUUAAAAAUAACCGCUUUUUUUACAGUUUUCGUCCGGAAAAUGGCGUAGACUAACCCUUAAACCCGUAUAUAUUUUUAGAGGUCCGACCCUCAAACGCCAUCGCAGCCUGUAGAAGUGAGGGUUGGGGGGAGUUUCUCCCCCCAACCUGCAAUCCAUUUCCUCGCGAGCGCGGGAGGAAGUUUCAGCUUCCUUCCCUCCCUCCGCAGCGCCGCCACCGCUCCGCUCCGCCGCCCCGCCCUCGAUCCGCCGCCGCCGCCCCACCCUUCGCCGCCUGCGCCCCGCCCCGGCCGCCCUCCGCCGCCUGCGCCUAGCCCCGGCCGCCCUCUGCCGCCGCCGGCCCGCCCUCCGNCUCCGCCUCCGCCUCCACGCCGGCCCUCCGCCUCCGCCUCCGCCCCGGCCGGCCCUCCGCCCCGGUCGGCGCUCCGCCUCCGCCUCCACGCCGGCCGCCCCUCCCAGCGCCGCCGCCCCGUCCCGGCUGGCCCUGCCCUCUGCAGGUUCGAAUUUUUGCUUUUUUCUUCAUUUUUACAUUUUUGCUUUUUUCUUCAUUUUUACAUUUUGGCACUCAUAUUGUAGAUGGAGUUGAACAAAGCCAACAUGGACUCGUUGUCGGAUUCGUCGGAUUGGUCGUCAUCCGACGAUUCCGACAUUGACGAGUUGUUGCAAGACGACGACGUCGAGAUGAUGAGCCUCCUCGUCGACGUGCAAGCGUUUGAAGACCGCGUGAAGCUUUUGGAUCAGAGGAGAGGGUCGAAGAUGGGGCGACUCACCAUCUACCGGAACCGCGCUCUCGGACACGAGCAUUUGAUGCGAGACUACUUCGCGGAGGUACCUACAUACCCUCCUCGUCUCUUUCGCAGAAGGUACCGGAUGAGACGUAGUUUGUUUGUGAAGAUUGUCACCGAUUGUGAGGCCGCCUCGUAUUACUUUAAACGUCGUAGAUCCGCCGCCGGUAUCAUGGGGUUUAGUGCAUAUCAAAAGAUAUCAGCGGCAAUGCGGGUACUCGCUUAUGGCAUACCCGCGGAUUAUACCGACGAGUAUCUUUGCAUUGGGGAAGAUACAACCACGGAGUCCGUCCGUAGGUUUGCCAAGUUGGUCAUCCGGUUGUAUGGUGAGAAGUAUCUUCGGGCACAAAACGAGGAAGAUACAAAGAGAUUAAUGGAAAUGAAUGAAAAAAGGGGAUGGCCGGGGAUGCUUGGUAGUCUUGAUUGCAUGCAUUGGAGGUGGAAAAAUUGCCCAAAGGCAUGGCAUGGAAUGUAUUGCGGUAAAAGCCGUGAUGCUACCAUUGUGCUUGAGGCCGUAGCAUCGGAGGACACAUGGAUUUGGCAUGCAUUCUUUGGGUUGCCGGGAACACUCAAUGAUAUCAAUGUCCUCAAUAGAUCUCCAUUGUUCAAAAGUUUAAUUUCUGGGGAUGCUCCAGCUUGCAACUACAAAAUCAUGAACAAUGAGUAUUCAAUGGGAUACUAUCUCACCGAUGGCAUCUAUCCCUCAUGGGCAACUCUUGUGAAGUCCAUCAAAGAGAAAAAUGGGGUGCCCUUAACAAGAAAAGAGGCUCAUUUCACCAAGGCACAAGAGGCAGCCCGCAAAGAUAUUGAGAGAGCUUUUGGUGUUUUACAAGCAAGGUUUGCCAUAGUUCGGGGUCCAGCUCGGUUUUGGGACAAGAAAACCUUGGUGAACAUCAUGAAAUGUUGUGUGAUUCUACACAACAUGAUCCUAGAGGAUGAGAGAGGGUUAAACCUCCCUUGUUUCUAUGACAAUGUUGGUACGCGUGUGCAACCGGAAAGAAACCAUUCUCGCAUACACACCUUUCUUGAAGCACAUCGUGAGAUUGAGGAUGCAACCACUCAUGGUCGUCUCCGGGAUGAUCUAAUAGAGCACCACUGGCAGUUGGAUGGGCGGCGUAUUGGCCCAUGAUGUAUCUUUGUUUUACUUUUCUAUGUCCUAUUUGAUUCGAACAAUUGUUGUUAUUUGCUCAAACAUUGUUGUAAUGAUUUGAAUGAUUAUUGUUUUAUUCGGUGUUGUAAUAAUAACUAGAAUGGUUAUUGUUUUAUGUCAAAUGUGAUUGAAUUUGUGAUAUGUCAUAUGAUGAAAUGGGGUGAAAUGUGUGAUAUAUGAAAUGACAGUUUUAAGGUUUGGGGUUGGGGCAAAGAGUAGAACCCUCAAACCCNNNNNNNNNNNNNNNNNNNNNNNNNNNNNNNNNNNNNNNNNNNNNNNNNNNNNNNNNNNNNNNNNNNNNNNNNNNNNNNNNNNNNNNNNNNNNNNNNNNNNNNNNNNNNNNNNNNNNNNNNNNNNNNNNNNNNNNNNNNNNNNNNNNNNNNNNNNNNNNNNNNNNNNNNNNNNNNNNNNNNNNNNNNNNNNNNNNNNNNNNNNNNNNNNNNNNNNNNNNNNNNNNNNNNNNNCAACCCUUAAAAGUGUUAAAAAUGGGCAAUUCUCAACCCUUAAAACUGAUUUUACAUUUAAGGGUUUGAGGGUUCUACUAGAGAUGCUCUAACAACCCUGAAAACACUCAAGCAACUGUAGCACGGGUACCAUGUGGGCAAUACCGCGCGCGUCGUUGAUCGGCCGCCUCUCCGCUGGUAAGAUCUCACUUAAAUAGGCUCCCAUAUAUAUAUAGUCUAAUGUAGGAUUGAAAUUAUUUGGGUGGACACUUUGAUUAAGUGGAAUGAAAUUCAGGAGUGCUGUCCUGACAUUGAGCUGAAAGACGAGAAGGAUACUUUAAUUUGGCAACUCAUUGUUGAUGGAAAAUAUUCUGUUAAAUAUAAUCAACCGGUGAGCAGUGGUUUCAAAUUUUCUUUCAAAUUUCUAUGGAAAGUUAAAAUUCCUGCAAAAAUUGGAGUUUUCUUAUGGCUGGCUGUUAGGAACAAAGGAGUGUCUAAAUCUCAUCUAGAUGAGAUAUAAUUUGGUCUCAUUCACUCCGAAAAAAAAAAAGAAGGUCUCAUUCACUUCAUAUCCGCUGUUGUUGUUGUACUAUUUGUUUAUAGCUCGUUUAAUUUCGCCGGCCCCGUCUUAGUUCGCUGGCCCAGCAACGUGUUUUGCUUUCGCUGGCUCCGUUCACUGGCCAGUAAGUAACACAUGCUCUGGAGACACUGAAAAAAUAAUCUCUAGCCUCACGGAGAUGGCUGGCUAGUCCUGACCAGGUUAGAUACGGGUGAUAUCAAUCCAUUAUUAGCACUAGUCGUUCUUAAUAGAACUAUCCGAUAAACAAAGAUGUUCUAGAAAAAGGAUUUUAGUUUUUUUUUUUGUGUUCUUUGUACUUGGUAUGCACACAAAAAAUGAACAAUAAAAUCACCGUAAAAAGAUUCAAUAAUACCUCUUGUGGUUUGCAUUCUUGUGCGCAAAAUGUGUGCCCCUCGUACACAAUUGUAAUUGUGUCUUUUUUGAUAACUUACAGUUGCAGCCUUCAUGAAAAUUUUAAGUUGUGACUAGACUUGUAAACUUGCAGUUGCGUCCCUUCUUAUAACAUUGCAGUUGCAUUCGGGCUACAACGUUUGCAAUUGCAUGUCUAGUGGUGACAUACAACUGUCCCCGACAAAUCCUGUCUAAACCCAAGUUGGAUUUGCUUUGGGUCCUUGCAGCUGCAAUCGAGUUAGAACGCUUGCAGUUGCAUGUGUAGUGGUUGACACACAACUUGUCCCGACACCCCCACUCCUAAUCCGAAUUGCAGUCGCUUUGAUCGCAUGCAGUUGCAAUCAAGUUACAACGCUUGCAGUUGCAUGUCUAGUGAUUGAUAUGCAACUGAUCCCGACAACUCACCUCAUAAACCUAAUUACGAUCGUUUUGGGCCCAUACAAUUGCAGUUGGAUUACAACGCUUGCAAUUGCAUGUCCAAUAGUGAACAUGCAACUGGUCCAUGCCAUGUCCUCAUCCUAUUUCUAAUCUCAACUUUACUAUUGUGCUGACAUGAUGAUUUUUUCAAACAAUAAUAUUUAAAAGAAACCUAAACAACAAUUUUGCAAUUUUCUUGAUCAACAAAAAUAAAAAAAUUACUCACACAUUUAUGUUCCUCAUACAAAACAGGAAAAGGAAACAACAAAAGAAUAAAAAAAAGACCACAUUGCAAGAUGGGACAGGGCCUGCGCGCUACACAUAAAAAAUGGCCACGGGCGCUCCAACGCUACAGAAACAAACGAGGGCUGCAACGAAAAAUAGAAAAUGGGCCACAUGCCACAAUCCAUCGGUAUUAAUGCUCGCCAACUCGGGUAAACGUGAAUUACGACACGGCAAAUAUCUGACGGCUGAUAAAACGAAUGAAACCAAAAAUUAUCUUAGCUAGCUGAGUUGUAGCAAAACUGUAGGAACAAUGUGCUUACUAAUGAUAGUUUGCAUAAAAGUGGUUGGAAUUGAGAUCCUAAAUGUGUUAUCUGUAUUGCUAGUGAGACAAUUGAUCAUUUGUUCCUGCACUUCUCUGUAGCUAAAUUUCUUUGGAGUGUUUUGCAAAGUACUUUUGGUAUAAAUUGUGCUCCCGUUGAUGUUAAAGGCCUUUUCACUACUUGGUUAUCUCCUUUUGUUAAGGGUAAACAUAUGAAAUUAUUUGUGGGUAUAUAUGCAUUGAUGUGGUCUAUCAGGACUUCCAUAAAUGAUAUUGUCUUUUAUUGCAAAAGGACUGUUGAUCCUUUUGGGAUUCUGUAUAAAAUUUGCUACCUGAUUGAUGCUUGGUCUAUUCUACAGAUAAAUAGGGGGAAAUAAAAGGGAACUGAUGAACUGGGAGCAAGAUUUUCUAGAGCGGGUGGAAAGUGAGAUCUACAGGGUGUCGAGAGCAUUGCGUAAUGCGCAUAACAGAUGGCUGAAGAUGACGUCCUCUAUGACUAUUUAUGCUUCUCUCUCUCUGAUAGCCCUAUUUGGAGAAGCUUGGUUAAUUCCCCAGUUUCUGUUCUUUACUAUAUGUCUUUUGGAUGACGAGCGUCGUUAUGUGAAGUUUGUAAUAUGCACCUAUUUUUGACACUCUAGUUUACCUUUAUGGGUGGGGUAGCUGUUGGUUCUAGAGUGUAGUUUAGUGUUUCGGAGAUCUGUCUCCUUCACUAUGCUAGCUCUGCUGUUUGGGUGAGUUUGAUGUUUGUAAUGACUAUUAUUGUUUUCAUAAUGAAAAUCGGGGGAAACCCCUUCUGGUAAAAAAAGUUUGGAGGGUCUUUUUUUUUAAAAUGCGAACCCUUAUGUACCGAUCUCAUUAAAAAAUGUCGAAGAGAAUUGCCCGGUUAAUGAUGAAAAAACCGGCUAAAACCGUCACAAUGCGCCCGCCACAACAGGGCACACAGGGCGACCUGACAACCUACACAAGAACGCACACAUGCCGCCAAAGGGAAGAGCUCCGUCGAGGUUGUAAUCCGGCAUCAUUGUCAUUACGCCUCCGCGAGGGCGACUCCGACUUCACCAUCGAUGACCACCGAUGUAGCCUCCACCGCAGACAAGCGUAGAGGCAUGCGUCGGACAACGCCAAACAGUCCACCACACGCGCCGGCGACCAGCCAGCUUCGACUCAACCGAGGAGCAUUGUAGGAUGAAAAGCACUGGACCUGCGCCGAGCCAGCGCCAGAACCGACGACCCAUCUUCACGUCGUCGUCGCCGCAAGGAUCCUCCUCAAACAACUCCGACUUCAGAAGACAAGAGAGGCACGACGACCCCUCGAACACGCCGGACUAGACCGACUACUAGAACCCAACAUCAAGUCCUAUUCCGCUUGAAGGGGCCAUCGUUGCCACACAAGAAGCCGCGCAGAACAUCCACAUUGCCGGACGAGCCCCAACCGACCGCAAUGUCGCGAGCGUCUAGCCCCUGGAGAGUGCAAUCGAGAUCCAAAGCUCUUCAAGACGACGCCCCCAAGGAGGAAGCGACGAUGUCGACGCCGUCGUCCGACCCAAUCGGGCCUAAGGUUUUCACCCGAAGAACUGAAUCCGAGGGUGUGUAGGGAGAUAACUCCUCAACGGUGCCUCCAAGGAGGUGAGACGACAUCCACAGACGCCGACACCGUCGACCGGCAAGCUUUCGCCCGGAGCACCUCUCAAUACCAUAACCCCACACACAACACCUCCGCUAGCACGCAUGCCUCCCACCAAGCCAUUGUGCCAUGACCACGAACGGGAGCACCGCCGCCAGCCUAUCCCCCUCGCCAGAUCCGGCUGGCCAGCAGCGGGCCGACGAGGGAAGCCAGCUAGGGCCACCCGAGGCCGCCGGGAGUCAAAUCUGGACGUCGGACGACGCCCCGAGACGCAGCCGCCGUGCCUCGGCCCGCUGCCCUGACGCCGCCACGCUCUAGAGCCAGCACGCCGCCGCCGGGAGUAGCCGCGCCGCGCCGCCGGGCCCCGUGCCCGCUCGACGUCUCUGCCCAGGUAGGGUGGCCCGCGCCUACCACCACCAACGGAGAGAGGAGGAAGAAGAGCCCCUCCGCCAGCCACCGCACCGGGCUUUUCCCCGGCGGCUCGGGCCAGUGGCGGCGGCUGGGGAGAGGGUGGAGGGGGGUGGGGGACUGGGAGCAGGAAGCGCCACUGCCUGAGUCGUUCGCGGGGGACCGACGCGGGGGCAAGGGCUGGAUUUGCUGCUGAUGUUUAGGGGUCUUUUUUUUGCGUGUUGCGUGCGUUUUCAGUCACCUUUUGCUCAUCUACGGGAUACAAACCAAAAGAUGGUGUGAUAUCAAGUUAAGAAGAAGUGACUGAGAGCAUCUCCAACAGCCGCGCUUCGCGCCGCGCCUAAAAAACCUGUUUGCCGCGCGCCCAUUGCCUGGUUUGACGCGUCGCGCAGCGCUGGCUCCAGCAGCAGCGCUAAAGUGCAGCGCGCGCGCACAACAUUUUCAAUUGCAAAAUGGGCAAAAUAAAAAGAUUGCAUAAAAUAAAAAAGGAUACAAAGUUAUUUUACAUAGAUUGCAACUAAAUAGAUAGUUCGAAAAUAUAGAUAGAUAGUUCGGUGCAAGUAGAUAGAUAGU
rnacentral:lncRNA from 1 species